GACUUGAAGCUAAGAUAUAAAUUUUUACCACCUAUAUUUCAGGAACAAACUAUGUUCAUUUUUAUUCUACUUUCUAGCCUGUAAAAUGUGUAAUGAAAUUCGGGUACAUGUCCCACUAAGAAUAAAUAAUAUAUUUAUGGUAUAAUUUUAAAUUUAAUUUCUAAUUCUUUAUAUUUUUUUGUUAAUUUGAUUUUUAAAUUUUAAUGAAAAUAUUAACUAAAUUUACUUUUUGAGGGUAAAAGCUUUCAUUAAUAAAAUUAAAUAAGAAAAACAAACAUAACAAUGUUCCAACAAGCAAUUAAGGGAGAUAUAUAUCUCAAUUAAGGAGGCUCUGAGGGCUUGAAUAAGAGACGUUAUGUAUGUGUAUGAAUGAAUUAUGUUAUGAUAUAUGAAAUGUUUAAGAAUGAAAGUUUUUAAGUUACGGUUUCUCGGUAAUUUUUCGAAACCCUUUCGGCGACGGAUAUGAGUUAGGGGGUUACUGAGCAUUAUCGAAGUUUACAUUUCAAAACUAUUAAGAAUUUAAAACAUUUAAUUCACAAUAUCAAUCAAUGUAAAACCAAUCAAUGGCAUACAUAUUGUCCCUUAUACAAGUCCUCGAUGCCCUAAAAACACAUUAGAAACAAGUCAGGAGCAAAUCGAAAACAUAUAAUUUUUAGGAAAAAGAUGAAUUUUUUUUUUAAACUGAGGGGUCACACUGCUGAGACACACACUUGUGUCUCAAGCCAUGUGGGUAAUCGAAGUAGGGACACAUGGUCAUGUCUCAGCCCAUGUCGUGCCCACAUAACUCUUUGACUUAGGUUACACGGCCAAGCCACACGCCCGUGUGCUAGGCCAUGUAAUUCUCGAAAUGCAACCUUUAAAAAACCUACAAGGGACACACGGCUGUGUCACAUUGCCGUGUGUCACACACGGUUGAGACAUACACCCAUGUCUUAGGCCGUGUGGACAAGAAAUAAGCCAAUUUCAAGUCAUUCCUUUCACCCAUUUCAAGCUCACACCUACAAGAUGUUUGCACAUACAAUCAAGCUUUUAAACAUACCAAAGCAUGCAUAUUAAGACCAAUUCAGUAGGUCAUUUAUCCAUACAACCAAUAUGUCAAAAGACACAUCAAACAUAAUCAUCAAAUCAACCUAAACAUAUAUACAUUUACCAUUUAUCAACUAAUUUGUUCCAAUGCCAAAACAUAUCACAAUUUAUACAAAUCAAUCAUACCAUAUUAGAUCAAUGCCAAAUCUAAAUAACCUUACUAUUUGGACCAUUCCUCACAUGCAUCAUAACCACCUAAAUGACACAAACCAACCAUUCCCAAAUGGUACCAAACAACCGACAUUUAUAUACCAUAUUUACAAGCCAAACAUUACAUCUCAUCAAACACAAUUCACUUAUACAUGCCAUUAUAACCUUGAUUAAGAUAUCAAAUUUACCAAUAUAAUUGUUGGAUAGUGUGAUAGAUCUCCGACGAGCUUCUAACCUGAUCGAUUUCCAAUAAUCUGUAAAGUACAGGAAAAUAACUGCGUAAGAAAUGAAUGCUUAGUAAGCUCGUAUAAACUUUGAACAUAACAAUCCAUUUCACAAUGAACUUUAUAGAUUAAAUAUAAACCUAUACCAUUACCUCAAGAUUUAACAGCUACAUAACCAUCAACUCAUAAAUGAGUAAGCCUAUUAACAUCAUAUAUAUAUAUUUUUCAUUCCUAACAUCAUAGGAUUUUAUAAAUCAUUAUACACUAUCAUUAACUUUUUCGUAAAACUAUGAAUUACUUCCUUUACUUACUUUCCAUUUCAAUUACUAAGUAUAAACUUAAAUAACAACAUCAAUUCACUAGUUAAUAUAUUUAUUCAUCUCAUAGGUAUGUUCAUCAAUAAUAUACGUAAUUUCUCUUAUAUAUAAAUACACCAUUCAACUCAUCAGUCCAUUUUUCAUCAUAUCACAUUUCAAUCAUGAUUUUACCGUUUCAUUACCCUUUCUUAUCCAUUUCAUUUGUAUAAUACCAGACAUAAGUAUAAACAUCAAUCAUAAUCUCAAGCUUUACAUAAGCCUAAUCAUUAUCAUCAAUACACAAGUUAGUACAUUUAUGUAUAUAACUCAUUUGGGGCCAAUCACAUGAUAAACCAUUUUAUAAGAAAAUAUACCUUUGAAUCUUACCACCUUUUCAUGAACAUAAGCAUAUUUCUGUUUGGCCACUUACCAUUUCAAUAUAUAUCAUUAAUAUUAAACAUGACAUAAUGCAAUCAUAAGCUUAGCACAAACCUAAGCAUCAUCCACAAUCUCAACUGAUAAAUUUAUUUAUGUUCAGAUCAAUAUUCAAUAAAUAACAAAUCUUUCAAAUUCAUUAAACAGAUUAUUUUAUCAAAAUUUUCCAUUUGAAGAAUGACUUAUGGAUAAGAGUAAAUCGUCAGUCCACCCAAAACACACCAGAAACUCACACGAGCCAAUCCCUCAAGCACACCAAUAUUCAAAAGAGCUAAUCCAACCAAUACACCAAUGCUCAUAAGAGCUAAUCCAACUGUAACACCUUAAACUCGGCCUAGAUGUUCAGACCAAGUUGGAGAGUUACAUCACCUAUACUAAAGUUCAUACUAUCAUAGCACAGUUAAAUUGAACAUGUAGUCACGUAAUAUUCAUCACAACCAUAAUCUAAUACAUAUAACCUUCAUAAAUUCCAUAAUAUCAUAAAACAUAGAUCCCUAAUAGUAAUACUUAAAAGGAAAUAUAGAAGUUUGACUAAGCUUCUGCGACACUGACUCGAUCAAGACUGGGUACCACCUGAAAUCCAAUCAAUAAAUGGGUGAGUUGUGAACUCAGUGCGUAAAAUGAAUGUAAUUCAACAACGGUUACUUAUAAAGAAAUUCCAGUUUAGAUAUUCAGUUUGACAUAGAAGCAUGUUCAAUUUAGAUUCAGAGCAGAGGUGUUACAAAUAUGUACAUAUAUACAAUUUCAGUUCAGAUAUGAUUCAGAUUUAAUUCAAAUGCAAUAUUCCUAUUUCCGUCUUCUACACACCAUUUUCAACCAUCCCAACACACCACUAUGGACGUUUAAUGCCCAUUCAUCCCUGCACACAUUUAGAGUGUUUAAUGACACUUUCACAGAAACGAGGCUUAGCUGCUAAAUUAAAAUGAGACAAGUGCAAGAAUUAGAGUAAUACUCAUUGUGGCAUAGCCACGAUUUCAGUACAAACUUCCUCCCUCCUCACAGCCUCCCACCACAUGCUAAUACAGAUUACAAUUACCCGUAUCAUAUGUUCAGUCAUUCUAAUACAUUAUACAAUUAAUUAAUAUAGUUCCAAAACAGAGUAAAUAUCACAGGGCACAUAUAAUAUUUUUACUUAUGAAUCAAUCCUAAUGUAUCAGACAGUUUUUGGCCCAAUUAUCGUCACAUGGCUAAGUCACACGUUAAUGUGCCCUGGCCGUGUGGUUUUCAAGCAUAAACAGUGAGUUACACAGUUUGGACACACACCCGUGUCCUUGCCCAUGUGAUUCGCACGGCCUGGGUACACACUUAUGUCUCUGCCUGUAUGGCUUUUAUACCUCAACAGUGAGUUACACGCUUGGGCACACGCCCGUGUCCCUGGCCGUGUGGUCUCAAUCGACAAAAAAUGAGUUACAUAGCCUAGAUACACGUCCGUGAACAUUUCCCGUGUGAACCCUACACUAAUAUGGUUACACACGGCCUAGACACAUGCCCGUGUGGCCCUAAAUUGACAAAUAGUAAGUUACACGGCUGAUCACACAGCCUGCCACACGCCCGUGUGACUCACACGACCUAGUCAAACACCCAUGUGCUUGGCCAUGUGGUGUCGACAGCCACAAUUUUCGGUGACCGAAACUUGCAAAAAUAAGGUUUCCGAUACGCUCCUGAUUUUGUUUUGAUGGGGAAACAAUAUGGAAACUACCCGGCCUAAUUAAUCAUUCCACGAUCAAUUACACUAUCAAUUUCAAAAUUUAGCAAACUCAACCUAUCGUUAAAAACAUGUCGAAAGAUUCAACACAAUUCUAUUCUAAUUCACACACUCACCUCGUACGAAAUAGGAGAAAUCAAACUAAUACGGCAGAUUAACGUCUUCUAUAAUAUCUUUUCCUAAACAAAGUAACCAAUGAGUCUUUAACAGAAUGUCAAUUAAACGAGCAAAGUCCCGUUUUGACAAAAAAAUGUUAACAGAAUGAAAAUCACAAACUAAAGAAAGUCACAACGAAACUUAUGCAAAAUCGACCUUACAGGCAAUAAGACUUCUCAAUUCACAUAAAAAUAAAUUACCGAAAGAGAAAAUAAAAGAGGGAAGAACGGAGAAACAAAGAACUAAAAUUUAAGAAGAAAUAAAAAAAAUAAAAAAACGAUAGAAUAUUUUAAGUUAACUACCACCCCUUCCGACAUUUGCAAAAAAAAUUCCCAUAUUGUAUGAUGGGACUUGAAUUCGGAACCAGAAAGAAUAUAGACAGAUGUUUAACCAGUGAACCAGCAGGCUCAUUCUUGACACUGAUUUACCCAGAAUUGCAUUAAACCACCUAACACAUAGAUAAGGGUUGUUUUAAAAUAAUAAAACUUUUAGCAACGUAAUUCAAAUUUCAGACCUUAAACACAAAAGCAGAGCGCAGAACUAGAGAUACUAAAAUCUAAUUACUGCAGAUUCUUACAAUUAGACUCUUAAAUAUUUGGGGCUUUACAACUCUCUCCCCCUAAAAGAAAUUUCGGCCUUGAAAUUUUACCUAAGUCGAACAGAUACGGAUAUAGUCAUCGAAUUGAUUCUUCCGGUUCCCACGUGGCUUCUUCAGUACUGUGGUUCCGCCAAAGAACUUUCACUAGAGGAAUGGUUUCCUUCCUCAACACCCUAAUAUCCCGUUCCAAGAUCUGGACAGGCUCCUCUUCGAAAGUUAAGUCCGGUCGCAAUUCAAUCUCAUCGAUAGUAACAAUAUGUGACAUAUCCUACCUAUACUAUCUCAGCAUCGAGAUAUAAAAUACAUCAUGAAUUCAUUCUAGUUCCGACGAUAACUCCAACUGAUACGCAACAGGCCUGACCCAUUUUAGAAUACGGUAAGGUCCAAUAAACCUCGGGCUCAGCUUACUCUUGCGCCCAAACCGGAGAACCUUCUUUCAAGGUGAUACUUUCAGAAACACUUAGUCACCUAUCGAAAACUCAAUAUCUUUUCUUUUCAAGUCCGCAUAAGAGUUCUGUUUAUAGGAGGCUACUUUCAGACGAUCAUGAAUCACUUUCAAUGUGUUCUCAGUAUCAGAAACCAGUUCAAGACCCAAUACCCGAUGUUCACUUAAUUCAGUCCAACAUAAUGAAGUAUGACACCUACGACCAUAUAACUAUAAGGCCUCGUAGGGUGCCAUCUGAAUACUAGACUGGAAGUUGUUACUAUAUGUAAACUCAGCCAACGAUAAGUACUCCUCCCAACUACCACUGAAGUCUAUCACAUAACCUCAGAGCAUAUCUUUUAAGAUCUGAAUAACUCGUUCCGACUGUCCAUCGGUUUGAGGGUGGUAUGCCGUGCUGAAAUUAAGUUGGGUGCCUAAGGCCCCAUGGAGUUUCUUCCAAAAUCGAUAUGUAAAUCGUAGAUCCUUGCUAGAGAUAAUCGAGACUAAAAUCUCAUGUAGUCUCACAAUUUCAAUAAUGUACAGUUUAGCUAAUUUCUGUAAGGAGUAAUCUGUUCGGAUAGGAAUGAAGUGAGCCGAUUUGGUCAACCGAUCGACUAUGACCCAAACUGAAUCCUUUUUAUCAGGAGUUAAGGGUAAUCCGUAAGAAAAUCUAUUGUUACCCGCUCCCAUUUCCACUAUGGGAUCUUGACGGGCUGAAGCAGUCCAGAGGACAACUGAUGUUCGGCCUUAACUUUUUGACACGUCAGAUAGUAAGACACAAAGGUGACUACCUCCCGUUUCAGUUCGGGCCACCAAUAAAGUUCCUAGAGAUCCUGGUACAUUUUAUUCCCACUAGGGUGUAUAGCACAAGGAUUAUGGUGCGCCUUUUAUAGGAUGGAAUGCUUUAGUUCCUUAUUAUCGGGUACACAAAUCUGACCCUUGAAGCAUAACACAUUAUCACCACUCAAGCUAAAAUCAGAAUUCUCGUUUGAACCAACAUAUUGCAAUCGCUGCACUAAAUAUUUGUCGUUCUAUUGUUUAGCUUGAAUCUACUCUAUACAAAUCUGUUUAACCUGUAAUUCUACCAACAGUCCUCCAUUCUCUACUAGACUCAGACGAGCUAACAUCACUCUCAGAUCAGUCAUUGCUCUACGGCUAAGGGCGUUAAUUACCACAUUAGCCUUACCCGGGUGAUAUUCAAUUGUGCAAUCGUAAUUCUUAAGUAACUUAACCCAUCGUUGUUGUCGAAAAUUUAACUUUUUUUGAGUUAACAAGUAUUUGAGACUCUUGUGAUCAGUGUAAAUAAUACACCUUUCACCAUACAGAUAAUGUCUCCAGAUCUUUAAAGCAAACACGAUCGCAGUUAGUUUAAGAUCGUACGUAGUGUAGUUACCCUCGUGUGUUUUAAGCUAUCGCGAUGCGUAAGCGACCAUCUUACCGUCAUGUAUAAGUACACAUUCUAACCGAACAUGUGAAGCAUCACUGUAAACCAUAAACUCUCGACACGAUUUUGAUUGGACUAAAACAAGAGCCUGUGUCAGGACGGACUUAAGUUUAUUGAAACUACACUGUUAUGCUUCAGACCACACGAAUGGGGCAUUCUUGCUCAAUAGUUUCGUCAGAGGUGAUGCAAUUAGAGAAAACCAUUCGAUGAACAUCUGAUAAUAACCGGCUAAACCCAAGAAGCUGCACAACUCAGAUACAUUUCUCGGCCAUUUUUAUUCGACAAUAGCUUCAAUUUUUUGGGGAUCAACUCAGAUCCCCUUUGUAGUCACCACAUAACCCAGAAAGACGACUUCCUGCAACCAAAACUGCAUUUACUGAAUUUGGCAUUCAACUAUUUUUCUUAGAGUAUCUGAAAAAUAAUACGAAGAUGAUCAUUAUGCUCCGUUUUAGUUUUAGAUUAGAUCAAAAUAUCAUCGAUAAACACCACCACAAAUUGAUUCAAAUACGAUUAGAAUACCCGGUUCAUUAAUUCCAUGAAUGCCGCUGGGAAAUUCGUUAAACUGAAAGGCAUUACUAAGAACUCGUAAUGUCCGUAACGAGUCCGGAAGGCAAUUUUGUACACAUCAGCCUCUUUGACUUUAAGCUGAUGGUAACCAGAGCAUAGAUUUUGAAAAAGAAGGACGCUGAUACGAGUAACUCAGCCCAAUUCAAAGGCCAUAAUAGAGAUGAGUUUAGUUUUCCUCAAGGCCCAAUUACGAGAUCCAAAUCCAAACAAAUAAAGUCAAAACUCAACUUAGUGGUUCAAGACUUUAUCACGAAAAAAAUUCAAGAAAAAGAGUUAAAGUUUCAAGACAAUAAAUUCUGGAGUAAUGAUGAAUUAGAAGAGACUAAUUAUGUUUGUGGGCCUAAACUCUCAAUCUAUGACGACAAGCCCAUGUGGAAAAUGCUAACAAGCUUAAGGAUUUCACUUCAAGAACCCCAAUUGAUCUUACAAGCUUAGACAUUUCAUAUUGGGUUUAAGUUUUAGGCUUAAUUUUUAUUAUAUAUAAGCAAAAUAUUUUGUUUAUUAGCUCUUAUUAUUUUAUUAUUAUUUUAUUCCGAAUUUUUGAUAAUUAUUAAGUAUUUUAAGUUAUUUAGGAAUUUUAUGUUAACAAGAAAGUUUAGUUUAAAACUACUUCUUGUUUAGAUUAAAUUAGAGUUCUAGUAUACUUAGGAGUUUUAUUUAGAUUUAUUUAUCUAGCCUAUAUAUAGGCCUUUGCAUUGUACACAGGGAGACAAUUGAUUAUUAUUCUAUUUCUCUUUUGAGUUAAUAAAUUCUCUUUGAGUUUUUUCUUUCCAAGAAUUUCUCUUGAGUUUCUUUUAGAAGAGUUUUAACAAUCUUUUUAGAUUGUGGGGAUCAUCUUCAAACUUUUUCUUGCCAAGGUUUUUAUCUUGGAGGGGAAAUUAGAGCCGCUUGAAGGGGGUUGUGGAUUCUUCGUGUUUCCAAGGCUUCUUAGGACUUCUACACGCCACGUUCUAUCUUUCCAUUUACCUUCUUUAUUCACUUCCUGAAUCCUUGAUUUAUUAUUUGUUUUAAUUAUUUUAUCUAACUUGGAUUUAAUUUCGUUUCAGGUUGUGUCAAGAAAAAUCCAAGUUUCUUUCCGAACGUCUAGAGCCCUAAGUCAAAUCCGCGACUUUGACAAACUUUACGAUCCGCUUUCGCGUUCAUCCUUCUCAACCUUUAUCAGACGCUCUUCGAAACUGGUCAAACAAGUCAUCAAUCCUUAGUAACAGUACUUGUUCUUGAUUGUCAACUUGUUCAACUGUUUAUAAUCAAUGCACAUUCUCAUCGACCCGUCUUUUUCUUAACAAACAAUACCAGAGCCCCUCAUAGAGACACACUCUGUUGAAUAAAUCUUCUAUCAAGGAGUUCUUGAAGUUGCGCUUUUAAUUCAGUUAACUCUUUUGGUGCCAUGCGAUAGGGCACAAUAGACACUAGAGCAGUACCUAGUAGCAGAUCAAUUCCAAACUCCACCUCCCUAUCUGGAGGUACUCUGGGCAAUUUCUCAGGAAAGACAUUCGAGAAUUCCCUCACGGUGCGAUUAUCACUCACUGAAAGCUUUUCGGAAGUAGAAUCAAACACGUAAGUAAGGUAUGCAUCGCACUAUUUUCGAACUAACUUAUCUGCUAUAAAAGCGGAGAUUACAUUGGAGAGGUAAUCCCGACACUCACUAAUCAUAACCACCUCGUCAUUCUAAGUCGACCUCAGAGUAACCCUGUUGGUUGCACAGUCUAGAUUGACCCGUUACUCAACAAGCCAAUCCAUUCCCAAAAUUAAGUCAAACUCAUUAAAGGGUAAUUCUAUUAUGUCAGCUAGAAAUACAAAACCCUAGAGCUCUAGGGGUACUCGUCUAUAUACUCUAUCAGCUCGAAUUAAUUGACCUAAAGGACUAAUUAUAGGAUUCAGCCAAAAAGAAAGACCACCAAAAGUAAUGACCACUAAGAUACGCAUAGUGAUUCGAUCUUUUGAUUACCCAUUUAUGGAAAACUUUUUUUUGGGGCUUCCGCCUUACACACAGAAGAUUGGAUUACCUGAAUCACGAGUCUUAUAUACUGUGUUAUGAUCACUUCAUAUUGAUAAAAAUUCCAGAGAACAAUUUGAAAUGGAAAUCAAGAAACAAUUUCUGGUCAUCAAAACAGAAAGGCAUGAAUUGCGCAAGAAGUUUUUUCAGGUAAAACGUCGUGUGACUUGGGGGACAUAAGACCCUUAGCCUCUCGAUCCCGAUGGGUACCAACGACCCUCUUCAGUGCUUGAAUCAUGGCCUGGGAUAGUGCGUUGUCCCUAACUGUUGGAGUCUGGGACUCCGUCUCAGCAGUGGGAGUACCAAUAGUCUCGUUGGUCUCUAGGUUGGGCAUGCUACCCAUAGAAGAUGACUCGGUUCGAGCUCCUCCUUGACGUCCUUGACAUCCCCGCAUACCACGUUCACGACUAUCGCAUAAACUCAUUUUGGCAAUUCUAACUACAAUAUCACAUUUAAUGCCCAUCCAUGCUUGCACAUCUUUAGAGUGUUUAAUGACAUUUUCACAGAACGUAGCUUAGCUGCUAGAUUAAUAUGCGACAAGCAAUACUCAUUGUGGCAUAGCCACGAUUUCAUUACAAACUCCUUCCCUCCUCACAGCCUCCCACCACAUGCUAAUACAGAUUACAAUUACUCGUAUCAUAUGUUCAGUCAUUUUAAUACAUUAUACAAUUAACUAAGAUAGUUCCAAAAUAUAGUAGAUAUCACAGUGCACAUAUAAUAAUGUUACUUACGAAUCAAUCCCAAUGUAUCAGACAGUUCUCAUAUAAUCAAUUUCGAUUACUCUUCCAUUGAGGAAACUAAUAUCAAGGAUAAGUAACAUUUUUGGCCUCAAAAGACAGUUUUCAGCCCAAUUAUCAGUCACACGGCCGGGUCACACGCCCGUGUACCCUGGCUGUGUGGUUUUCAAGCAUAUACAGUGAGUUACACGGUUUGGACACACGCUCGUGUCCUUCCCCGUGUGGCUUUUAUACCUCAAUAGCGGGUUACACGGCCUGGGCACACGCCCAUAUCCAUGGCCAUGUGGUCUCAAUCAAUAAAUAGUAAGUUACACGACCUAGACACAAGUUCGUGUCCGUUGCCCAUGUGAACCAUACACCAAUAUGGCCACACACGGCCUAGACACAUGCCCGUGUGGCCCUAAAUUGACAAACAGUGAGUUAUACGGCCGAUUACACGGCCUGCCAUAUGCCCUUGUGGCUCGUACGGCCUAGUCACACGCCCAUGUGCCUGGCCGUGUGGCAUCCAUAGCCACCAUUUUAGCGACCGAAACUUGCAAAACUAAGGUUUUCGGUACGCACCUAAUUUUGUUUUGACGGAGAGAUUACCCAGAACCUAAUUAAUCAUUCCACGAUCAAUUACACUAUCAAUUUCAACAUUUAAAAAAUUCAACCUAUUGUUAAAAACAUGUCAAAAGAUUCGACGCAAUUCUAUUCUAGUUCUCACACUCACCUCAUACGAAACAGGAGAAAUCAAACUAAUACGACGGAUUAAUGUCUUCUGCAAUAUCCUUGCCUAAACAAAGUAACCAAUCGAUUCUUUAACAGAAUGUCAAUUAAACAAGCAAAGUCUCAUUUUGACAAAAAAAAAUGUUAACAGAACGAAAAUCACAAACGAAAGGAAGUCACAAUGAAACUUAUGCAAAAUCGACCUCACAGGCAACAAGACUUCUCAAUUCACAUAAAAAUCAAUUGCCGAAAGAGAAAAAUAAAAGAGGGAAGAAUAGAGAAACAAUGAACUAAAAUUUAAGAAGAAAUGAAAAAAAUAAAAAAAUAAAAGAAUGAUACAAUGUUUUAAGUUAACCACCACCCCUUCCGGUAUUUGCAAAAAUAUUUCCUAUUACGUACGAUGGGACUCGAACUCAAAACCAGACAGAAUAUAGACAAAUGCUUAACCAGUAAACCAGCAGGCUCAUUCUUGACACUAAUUUACCCAGAAUUGCACUUAACCAUCUAACACAUGGAUAAAGGUUGUUUUAAAAUAACAAAACUUUUAGCAACGAAAUUAGAACUUUAGACCUUAAACACAAAAGUAGACUGUAGAACCAGAGAUACAAAAAUCUAUUUACUGAAGAUUCUCAUAAUUAGACUCUUAAAUAUUUGAUGUGUUACACCAACCAUCACAUCAAUGCUCAUAAGAGCUAGUGCAACCAACAUACCAAAAAAAGAGUAUAACACAAGAGUUCGCAACAAAUGUUAAGCAUCGGUUUACUCAGGUAGCAUGAAUGUCCAUCACUCCACAACCGUCUACACUCCAAUCCCCCUUAACAAACCAAAUCAUGACUGUAUUCUAUCCUGCAUUCAAAUCAAACCAAGCAUCAAUUCAAUAUUAUAAUAUCAAUUUACCAUUAAUUAUCAACAAUUAAAAAUAAAUAUACAAGUUGUACCAUAUUAAUCUACUCAAAAAUUCAUAUUGAUGUUAAAUUCUAACCGUACGAACUUACCUGACUAAAUUGCAGAAAUGUCGAAGUAUAAGGGCAUUUUGGUAACAUUCUCCUCAAUUUUCCACCCGGUCUUGAUCUAAAUUAAUAAUUUCAUUCAAUCUAUAAAUUUAGACAGUAAAAAAAUGUACUUUAUGCAAUUUAGUCAUUAUUUAUAUUUUUACAAAAUUGCCCUAAAGUUUUACUUUUAUUCAAUUUAGUCCCUGAGCACAAAACAUGCAAAUUAACCAUUUUCUAAUGCCAAUUUAUAACAGCUGAAUAUUCAUGGCACCCAUAUCAGCCCAUUUUUGCAACAAUUUCACAUCAAACCCUUUAACUUUCAUUUUUUUAACAAAUUAGUCUCUAAUCGAUAAAUUCAUUAAAAAUCACUUAACAAAAUACUUUUAAUUAUCAAUCAACAUCCCAAAUUCAUCAUUUAACAUAAUAAGAUUAAUCAAUGGCAACAUCUAAAAUCUUUAACAAUUUCAAAAUUGAAGGUACGAGCUAAUUAAACCUAGUUGCAAUGAUCUUAAAAACAUAAAAAUUACAAGAAACCGAUCAAAAUCGACUUACCAAUUGUUGCUUGAAGCUAGACGUAGGCUAGGUUUCUUCUCCCCUGUAACACCCUUAACCUGAAUCCAAACGCCGGAUUAAGGCUAAGAGGUAUUACCAAACUAAACAUUUAAUUAUCUCAUUCACAGUGUCAAUAAACAUAAACAGAGAUCGAGCUGAAAUACAUACUGAUAUUUAAGUUAUACGCCAUUUUCGUAUGGCCAAAAUAUUUACAAUUUCAAAACAUAGUUAUCAUCAGCCUAACCUAUACAUGCCAUAUCGAGUCUAAAAUAUAACUAUACCAAAAAGAUCGAUAGUGUGAUGAACUGCUGACGAUCCCCGAGUCGGUGGCCAAAAUCAACAAUCUAUAAAACAGAGAAAUAAAGAACAGAGUAAGCUUUCAAAGCUUAGUAAGUUUUAAGCAUCACAAACAAUUAAAGACUUAUCGAACAUCGAAAUAUUCAUUCACACUUAAGUAUCAUUCUUUAGUACUAAUAAUUCACAAAAAUCAUUGACUGAAUGUACAUGAGUACAUAAAGAAAUUUUAACAUAUAAUUCAUAUACAAAUAUACCAUGACCGAUUAAAUCAUUCUCAUAUUCACAAAUAUAACCAUCAAUCAUAUUUAUAUAUAUUCUUCUUUGAUGCUAAUGAUUCACUUGGAAAUCAAUUCACCGAUGAGUAAGUAAUACGUACCUGAACAUUUUAAAUGUAUAGUACUUACUCGACGAUGGUUUACUGCGAACAUUCAAUAUCGUAAUCUUACUUAACUUACUGGCAUUAAGCCUGUUAGGUCUUAGGACUUGAAACCAAUUACCAGCACAAGCCUGCGGGAAUUUAAACCCGAUAUAAUACCAGCUCGAAGCCUGCGGGACUUUAGCCCGGACAUAUUUCCAGCACGUAGCCUGCGGACCCUAAGUCCGGAUAUAAUUCCAGCACAUAGCCUGCGGACCCUAAGUCCGGAUAUAAUUCCAGCACAUAGCCUGCAGACCCUAAGUCCGGAUAUACAUCACUGAAUGUCAUGCAUACUUAUUCGCAAGAAAAUUCAAUUCACAUAACAUCUCACAAUCAUAGUUCAUUUAUUCCAUUCGAAUAAUAGCAUAACAUGGGCACCAUUCAUAUAACUUUUGGCUCAAUAACAUACAUAAGAAUAUAUGUCCAUUUACUUUCCAAGCUUAACUUCUAAUGUCUAUUCGGCUUUAAGCCUUAAACAUAAAUUAUUUGUCACUCAACUAUAUUCAAAUAGAAUCAAUAGAUCGCAGUACAGUUAUCAUACACAUAUCAAGACAUUAUCAAUUACGUACUAAAUGUGACUAUUCAAAACUUACUUCGGAUAUACUUGAACGGUUGCGGAAAGGCUACUCAAUUACUUUCUCUUUUCCCCUAUCCAACUUCGACCCUCUUUGCUCUUGAGCUUAAAUUCAAAAAUUUUAAACUAGUCAUUAUUCGACUAUUCAAGCAUUUUUUCAGAAAUAUAAUAUAUAUAUUCGACUUUAACACACAUAGAUCAUAGUAAGUUUAUAAGAAAACAUUAAGCAACUCAUUAACAAAUUUUUAUCAACGAUUAUCACAUAAUCACAAAUUCACAAUAAGCUGUCUUCCUGAGCAACAGUCACCAAAUUAUUUAUAACUGGAGCUACAAAACUCCAAAUCAAUUGCCGUAAAAUUUCCCUGAAAAUAGACUCAUAUAUCUUUUAUCCAUAAAAUUUUCAGAAUUUUUAGUUUGGCCAAUCAAUACCAGAUUUUUCUUAAAGUUUCCCCCUAUUUCACUGUUUGACUAAUCUGACCACCCUUUAUUACGAAUCAAAAUUCUAAUUGUACAGAAGUCAAAAUAUGUUCUCGUUGAUUUCAUUUGAAACUAGACUCAUUAAUCUUUAAUUAAAUAGUUUAUUCAUCUUCUAACUCCACUCUCACAAUUUAUGGUGAUUUUCCAAAAUCACUUUAUAGCUGCUGUCCCGUUCAGAUUUAUUACAAUAUACUAAAUCACAACUCUUUGCAUUCAUAUUAUUAACCAAAUAUAGUUAUGCAACCAAAACACAAAUCAUAUAUACAUUGUAAUAUGCAUAUCAAAAUAACUCCAACCAUGAUCGGAUAUAACCGAAUUUAAACAUGAAAAUUAAGCCAUUUUCGAACUCCUAUACUAAAUCAAUACAUACCAAAAGCUAAUUUUUACAUAUCCGUCAACUCGAACCUAAAACCAUAACCGAAUACUCAAGUACAUAUUAUCUAUUCUAUUAUUACAAUUUAUGCACAUGUGGCUAAAACAAAUUGAACCAUUUUGAACACAAAUAUCAACUAAAAAUACAACCAUUUUCAUAUGUAUAUUUUACUCAUGCAAAGACCAUAACCGAAUCAACCAUAGAUACCACCCAAAUCAUCAAAUUUUUUUUAACACACCUAGCUACUCAAAAUCAACCUUUCAUACACUUAUAUCUAAUAUCAUAGGUAAUGCCAAAUGUUCAAAUUCAACUAAAUUUAAAGAUUUAACCUUCAUCAUUUUAAUUAAUCACUACCUAUUCUUCAAAACUUCAAAUACAAGGUAAUUAACACAUAUACUCAUUUUAUUUUAUUCCCACCAUGAUCGAAAGCUCAAAUUCUCCCAAAACUCAAAAUUUUAACAUGGGUUGAAAUAAGAACUUGAUAACUAACUUAAAAACAACUAAAAUUUUAAGAACUAAUAAAAAUUCUUACCUUGAUUUAAGCCUAUGGUAACCGAAUGAAGUUUUCUCCCCUUUCCUCUCUUACAUUUCGGCCAAGAAGAACAAAGGUGAAGCUUUGUUUCCAUCACCCAUUUUCUUUUUAUUAAUUCAUUACUAAAUUAAAAUUAUAAAGCCAUUAUAAUUAAAUAAUACAUAUAUUCUAUAUAACAUAUCAUCAUGGCCGGUCACUACCUAAAUAAAAUGAAUAUUUGACAUGCAAGUCCAUCCUCUUUGUCACAUGCAUUAAUAGGCCACUUAAGAUUAACCUAUCACAUUUCAGAAUUUUCUCACAUAAGUCCUAUUUAAUAAUUUCACAUACAAUUGACCAAAUUAAAACAUGAAACUUUCACACCUUUUUAAAAUCAUAUUUGGCUCGUAAAUGUUAAAUACUAAUAUUUACGAACUUACUCAUUGGAUUUGGUGGCCCUGAAACCAUUGGAAAACAAGCUAUUACAACUCUCCCCCUUAUGAAAAUUUCGUCCUCAAAAUUUCUCACAUGAUAAAAGCAAUCACAUUAAAUCUUUUUAUUAUCUUCUUAAUGGAAUUCCACAGACAAAUCAUUUAUAACUCAUUUCGAUUCAGAACUUGCAUCAGAACUCAUAUUAAAACUUGAUACUAUAUCUGAGAUUCUGGUUCUAACUUUCUUGGAGACAUUGGAAUUAUUAGUAGCCAAAUCCAAAACUAACAUAACAUAAAUAAAAGGAGAAUCAUCCCAACUAGAACAAGAUGCUGAUGAUAAAAGCCGCCUUAGAAAGAUUAAUUUUUUCACAAUAUUGGCAUAGCAAAUUACAUGACAAUUUAAAUGCACUUCACGCUGACAUGACAUUAUUUGUUAUAUAUGUUAACGUUAACAAAUAAUUUAUAAUUUAUAAUUUAUAAUUUAUAAUUUAUAAUUUAAAAAUAAAAAAAGCAUGGAAUAUAUAUGAAUUGUAAUGCAAGUUGUCGUAUUUAAAAAUUUAAUAUUUUAGCCAAUAUUUUUAUUAAAAAAAUAACAAUUUAAUUCUUUAUAAGGUUGAUGGUUAAAUUCAACUGUUUUUUUGUUAAUCGAAGUAAGAUUUAACUUAAAAAAAGCCAAAUUGACAAUAUAUAUAUAAAUAUUGGAGGACUAAAUUUAACAUUAUACAUAUAUUUAUUUAUUUUAACAUUUUAACAUUUUCAUAUAAUUUAUUAUAUCUAAGUUGAGAUAUAUCUCAAAUAUUAAUGUGUGGAUCCAAACAUUACUUUAAUAGCAGUAUAAAGAUCCAAUAAUUUCGGUUUAUCAAUAAUGUAUAAAGGGAAUUGAGAUAAAUAAAUCUUCAAACCCUUUUUAUCUCAUCCUAAAUUUCAAUCUAUUUUUAUCUGUUUGACUGAAUCUUAUCGUUUUUUCUUAAUAAUUGUUCCAACUAAUCUUAUUGAAAAUUUGUUUGUAGAUAUUAUUAUGAUCCUUUUGGUAUGAAAAUUUGUGAGAAUUUGGGUUUUUUUUGGAAUUAGUGAGAAUUUGGAUUUUAAAAAGGUAAAUUAUAAAAAUAGUUAAUUUGGUUUGUCUUAAAUUAUAUUUUAGUUGUUUAUAUUUGAAAUGUUAUGUUUUAGUCACUUAGUUUAUCAUUUUAUUAUGAAGUGGUUACUCUACUGUUAAACUCUGUUACCUCCCUAGUCGGUAGUCCUACGUGGCAAUCCAAAUGCAAACUUGGAUGUCCAGUUGCUGAGAUAAAAGAAUGUUUUUAAUUAAAUAAAUUUAAUUUGGACUACCAUGUAGGGCAUCCAAGUUGGCAUUUAAAACUAAUUUGGAUUGCCACAUAGGCCCACCGUUAGGAAGGUAAUGGACCUUAACAGUAAUAUGACUACUUUGUAACAAAACGAUAACUUAAGUGACUAAAAUGUAACAUUUUAGACAUAAGUGACUAAAAUGUAAUAUGAGAUAAAUAAAAGUGACUAUUUUUAUAGUUUACCCAUUUUAAAUUGGAUAUGAUAUUUAAAUUCAACAAAUUUCGAAAAAUUAUUAAUUAGAAAAAGGAGGGAAUUAUUCCUAAAAAUAUUAAAAUUAAAAACAAACAACUUGUUUGACCAAAAUUGAUUCCUAAGUUAUCCAAUUUUAUUAAUUUUUAAAAGAAAAAGAAAUCUCGAAUUUGGCAUUGUAAUUAUUAGUUCAAACUUAAAUUUUAGCAGCUCAAAUUAUUAUAUAAAUUGAAUUUAAAUAUUUUAAUCCUUGAUUCCAAUAUUUCAAAAGUCUAAUUAAAAAUCUUAAUAUAUUUUAUUUAAAUUAUAUUAAAAAUCUUAAUUUGAUUUUAAAAAUAAAUAACUAAAACUGACACAAAAAUUAUAUUCAUUUUAUUAAGUAAACAAAUAUAAUUCAAUAAAUUCCAACAAUUCGUUUUUAUCUUAAAUCAGAUUCAAUAAUAAAUUAAGGGUAAUUUACAAAAAUAGUACGUAAGACUGCUGUUAGAAAGGUAAUGAAAUUUAACGGUAGAGUGAUUACUUCGUAGCAAAAUAAUAAUGUAAAUGACUAAAACGUAAUAUUUCAUAUAUAAAUGACUAAAAUAUAAUAUGAGACAAAUAAAAGUGACUACUUUUGUAAUUUAUUCAUAAAUUAAAAACCCCCUCCAAUUUCUGGUUUAACUCGAAAUUUAAGAUAAAUCCGAACUCCUUAUCAUCAAAUUCCUCCAAUUGUAAAUUUUCCCCUGUGAUUGAUGACGUGGCAUACGUGGGCCCCACACAAUUUAAUGAAAGCACAAAAGCACAGGAUUCUUUCCCUGUGAGUGUUUACACACACGAAUCAAACCCACACCGCUAAAUCACCAAACCCUCUCUUUUCUCUAAUUCACAACAUUACCCCUAUUUCCUUACACUUCGGAUCCCUUAUUCGCCUUUUCUAUUAAAGGGUUUCUCGUAAAUUCAUUUUCAUUUGAAGGAUAAAAUACAAAUAAAUAAAAAUAAGAAAAAAAGAUGUUAGAUUUAUUUAUGAAAAAAUGACGUGGAAAUAAUUAAACGGUGACGGAGAAAAAACCGGCCGGUAAGAUUGGGCUCCUUAUUUCCUAUAUAAACCCGUUUUCUCCCUUGACAAUUCGCACAUUUAAUGGAAACUAGAGAAAGAUCCUCUUAUUUUUCCUCUCUAAUUUUAUAACCUAAUUUCUCUCCUUUUUUCAAUCCUGGCUCGGUACUUCUGCAGUUCUUGAAGAGGUAAAAGAAAAAAAAGAAAAGAAAAUUAAAAUAAUUAAAUAAAUGGGAAAUUCUCUCUCUCAACUGAAUUUCUUUUGUUUUUUCUUUCUAUUUUGAAUUUAUAUGUUGGAACUUGGAGAAAUGCUGGAAGAAUGAGAUUAGAUUUUGAAUCGAAGGACAGAGGGUUUGACCUUUUGGAUUAACGCAUUCUUGUUUGACAGUUUUAAUGGAAGUGAUUUAUUUUGAUCUGCGAAAGGUUUUAGUUUAUGAAAUCUGCGGAUUUCAAAGAAGGUGAAUGACAAUGGAGCUAAGUGUUUAGAUUUAUGCUCGUUUAAAACCCUAGGAUUUGAUCUGGGGGCUUAUAUUAGGGUUAAUUAGUUUAAACUAUUAUGUGCUUAUCGAGAUUAAGCUUAGAUUAAGUCUAAAUUAGGGAUCUUAUGAUUCUAAUUAAGUUCCGAUUGGAUUUCUUUUCUAAAUUUUCAGUUAGUUAGGAUUGAGGGUGAAAAGUUCUUCAUUUUUUUUAAUUGUUCACAUUGGAUUCAAUUAAGUUAAUUAUUUGCUUUGUUUGAGUAUAUUGCAUUUAAUGCUCCUUCAGAAGUAAUCUUGUCGCCUUAUUGUGAUUGUCUGUGGGAACUAUUUUAAUUGCGUACUGUUUGGUAGAUAGAUGAUAAUCUUAGAUUUGUUAUGCUUUACUUUUGAAACUGUUUAUUGAUUAUUAAAGUUGUGCGUAUGUAUGUGGAGGUAUCAAUUUUGGCAGUCAAGCUAGUUGUUAUUUGGUUGUUGUUUCAUGAUAGGAGAUAAUUAGCAAGUACAUUGCUUUGUUUCUUACAGGAUGUGCAAACUUUUGUUGCUUAACUGGAUUUGGUUAAACUAAUAACUUUUUAUUGUAUGUACAGCUUGUUUUCUAUGUGGAUCUUUUGCUGACAAGAAGACUAGUAUAGCCAGUUAGAUCUUGUUGGAAUAAUCAUAUAGCUUGUAUGCAUUUAUAUAUGAAAUGGGCUCCCGUGGAAGACCAUUAUUUGAUCUUAAUGAACCCCCGGCUGAAGACGAUGAGGAGAGUGAUCUUGCUUCCUGCUUCCAGCCACAAAAGGCACUUCCAUCUGCUAAUGCCCAUACUUCCGACUUAUCUGUGACAUUAACAGGUUCUCAGCAAAGAGUUAAUAGUGACGGGUUCUUGCAUGUGUCCUCUGACUUAGGUUUUCAAACAUUUAUACAGCCUAAAGCUUCUUCUUUAACCAAAGUAGAUAUUGAACAUGAGAGAGCAGAAGACCAGAAUUCCAAUUUGGCAUCAUCUUCUUCAAAGUCAAAAUCAAAUAAUAGCAGGGAGACUAAAGGUCUUGUAGCAGCUUCCUCUGUUUCAGCUUCUACAAAUGCUCAAGCUGGAGAAAGAGAAGGUGAAUGGUCUGAUGCUGAGGAUUCUGCUGAUGCAUCUGGAAGUAAUAGUAUACAUGAAGAGGUUAAAGCUUCACAAAAGCGAGCUAUAAAUGAAGUGAUGGAUCAUUCUAGUGCUUCAGGCAUGAUUAUUCAAAGUGUUAGUGCCACUGAAAACAAUCAUUCUCCUUUAAAGCUGGACCAGUUUCUAAAUGAUCAGAUGGGCAACAGUAGCCAAAAUUCAGAAGGCAGUGGAAAAGGUGAUAUAACCAUUGAUGGUCAGGAAGAAUCUGGCUUAGUGUCCAAACAAAGAGAAGUUAAAGGUAUUGAAGCUAGUCACACACUUAGGUGUGGGAAUAAUCUAGGAAAGAGGAAGAUAGAUCAACAGAAAGAAGCGAUGCUGGGAAAGAAACGGAAUAGAAAGACAAUGUUUCUUAAUUUGGAAGAUAUCAAACAAGCAGGCCCUAUAAAAACUUCUACUCUAAGAAAGCAAAACCUUCCAAUGCCAGUUGUUACUCGCACUGUGAAAGAAUAUCACAUUGGUGAACGAAUUGGCGAAAAGCAAGGUCGGCCAAUAAAUGAGGAUCAGAAGCAAGUUGAUGUACCAUGUAAUGAAGGAAGCAAUCCUGCAGUAGAGUCAUGUGAUCCUAAAUCUGAAUGUAAUGGUGAUAUGAAUUCUGGAGUACUUGCCAGGCCUAGGAGGUUAAAUAGUGGCUCUGAUCUUUCUCAUUUACCAACCAUUCCCAAACAGAGUUCAUGGAAGCAACCUAUAGAUUCAAGGCAACUUAAGAAUUCACAGUUUCCUAAUAGGAAACCAACUCCAAUCAGCCAAAGCGCUAUGGACACAAAGAUGGUAAACAAGAAACAUCUUCCUUCUAAAAAGAUAACUGCCACUACUACCUCUUAUCAUGACACAUCUGUUGAACGUUUUAUACGAGAGGUGACGAAUGAAAAGUUUUGGCACCACCCAGGUAAUAAUAUAUGUGUGUCUGCAUGUGUGCCUUCUUUUUAUGGAUUUACAGAUAGCUGUUGAAUGCUUUUAGACUUCCUUAAUCAAGAUAUUCUUGUUCUCUUUUAAAGGUGCUGUUUCCACUGAUUUAUUUGCAAUAUCUGUUACCAAUAGUUCUCUUGAUCUGGUUAUUUAUGAGAAUUUCCAUUGUAGAAACAAUUAAUGUGACAUGUCUUUGGAGUUGCUGGUUUCCUCAUUUAUUCUUAUCCCUCCUUAAAGUAUAAUUAUUUGUUUAAUGGAACUUUUUCGUUAGGCACAUGCAUGUUAUAGGAGAUUACUUGGGUGAAUAUGCUUAUUUUUUCUACUAUUUGUAAAGCCUCAGAAUAUUUACCUAAGCCCUAAUAAUUUGUACAAUUUCUGGAGCCAUUGACAUACAAUACCGUAAAAGAAGGCGUAUUUAAUUAAUGUGUAAAAUGUAUGAUCAGAACUAUUUCUUUCUUCUUCCCAUCAUGGUAAUUGAGUGAAGUUCCUUUUUCAUUUUGCGUUUUUUUGGGCUUGGCAUCUUUUAGAUUGCAGUUGUACUUGACCUCUAAUUAUAUUUGAUUUCCAUUCAUCUCUAUCUUGUUUUUUUUAUCUUUUGUUUCUUUUGGUGUACUAAAUAUCUUAUGAACUUUUAGCCCUUGUACUUGACAACGAAUUUUCACUUAAUAUAUCAGAAAACAGUGAACUCCAGUGUGUUCCUGGGCAGUUUGAAUCUGCAGAAGAGUAUGUCAGAGUAUUUGAACCGUUGCUUUUUGAGGAAUGUCGUGCACAGCUGUACAGUACAUGGGAAGAGUUAGCUGAAUCAGCUUCAAGAGAUACACAUGUAAUGGUCCGUAUCAAAAGCAUUGAAAGGCGUGAAAGAGGUAAGAGUGGCUUAAAACACUUACCAGUCUACAACUUUGCAGUCUAUUAUCUUAUUGAUAAUUUAGUUACUGUAGGCGGGGGGAUUAGUAAGGUUGACAAUUAUGGUUUUGACCACUAAUUUGGUUAACUUUUUGGUUCCAGGGUAAAAAUGCUGUCAUUAUUUUUGGGAUAGAGAAUAAUCUUUCUACUAGUUUAUUAAUUGGCAGAAAUUUUUCUGUUGGUUUAGGAUGGUAUGAUGUGAUAGUUCUUCCCACUACUGAGUGCAAGUGGGUAUUUAAGGAGGGUGAUGUUGCAGUUUUAUCUGCUCCAAGGCCUGAUUCUGGUAUGAUAUUGGAAUAAGAUUUCUUUUCAGAUUUAUUUAGGAAUAAUUAAAAAGAAGUAAAUAUUUUAGCAAUGUUUAUUUCUUAUAUCUUGCAGUUAGAAGCAAGUGGAGCAACACCUCUUCAAUUGAAGAAGAUGAGGAGGCCGAGGUUAUUGGACGUGUGGCUGGUACUGUUAGGCGCCACAGGCCCCUUGAUACUCGUGAUCCUCUUGGUGCAAUCCUUCACUUCUAUGUUGGGGAUUCCUAUGACUCAAGCAGGUAAUUAGAGAAAUAUCACUUCCUUAUUUAUAUGUGCUUUGUUGCUACUGUUGAUUCCUGCAAAAUCUUAGCCAAAUUUUCACAAGCAUUAAUUUUCUCUUUCUGUUUUCUAAUGUUGAAAUAACAUAUUAAUGUUUAUAGCAAGGUUGAUGAUGAUCAUAUUCUACGGAAACUUCAACCCAGGGCUAUUUGGUAUCUAACUGUUCUUGGAUCUCUUGCAACCAGCCAGCGGGAGUAUGUGGCAUUGCAUGCAUUUUGUCGUUUUAAUGCCCAGGUACAUACAUUAUUAUCAUUUUUAAAUAUUCCUGCGGCCAGAUGCAGCAGGUCUUGUCGCUUGAUGCUUCCUUACUAUGGUUAACAAAAUUUCUCUUGGGCACAGAUGCAAACUGCCAUCCUUAAACCAAGUCCAGAUCACUUUCCAAAAUAUGAGCAACAAACUCCUGCUAUGCCUGAAUGCUUCACCCCAAAUUUUGUUGAUUAUUUACAUAGGACCUUUAAUGGGCCUCAGCUUGCUGCAAUCCAGUGGGCAGCUACGCAUACAGCUGCUGGGACAAAUAGUGGGGUGGCUAAGAAGCAAGAGCCAUGGCCUUUUACACUUGUUCAAGGGCCUCCUGGAACAGGUAAGACACAUACAGUCUGGGGGAUGCUAAAUGUCAUCCAUCUGGUUCAAUAUCAGCACUACUAUACUUCUUUGCUCAAGAAAUUAGCACCUGAGAGCUAUAAGCAAGCUAAUGAGAGCAAUCCUGACAAUGUUGCGAUGGGAUCAAUUGAUGAAGUCCUUCAGAACAUGGACCAGAAUCUUUUCCGCAGCCUUCCAAAACUCUGCCCUAAACCCAGAAUGUUAGUUUGUGCUCCUUCUAAUGCUGCAACUGAUGAGCUUCUUGCGCGUGUUCUUGGUCGAGGAUUUAUUGAUGGUGAGAUGAAAAUUUACCGUCCUGAUGUGGCCCGAGUUGGGGUAGACUCUCAAACACAGGCUGCUCAGGCAGUUUCCGUUGAGCGGAGGUCCGAACAACUUCUGCUCAAGAGUUAUGAUGAAAUUUUACAACAUAUGCGCACUUUGAAGGCUCGUGAGGCUAUGUUAUCUCAGCAGAUAGCAACUCUUCAAAGGGAACUUUUUGCUGCAGCUGCUGCUAUUCAGUCUCAAGGAUCUGUUGGUGUUGACCCUGAUAUUCUUGUUGCUCGGGAUCAGAACAGGGAUGUAUUGUUGCAGAACCUGGCUGCAGUUGUUGAAAACAGAGAUAAGGUUCUAGUUGAGAUGUCUCGCCUUCUCAUUGUAGAAUCCAGGUUCCGUGCUGGCAGUAACUUCAACUUAGAGGAAGCCCGUGCUAACCUUGAGGCCAGUUUUGCCAAUGAGGCUGAGAUUGUUUUCACUACUGUCUCAAGUAGUGGCCGCAAGUUGUUCUCUCGCCUUAGCCAUGGUUUUGAUAUGGUUGUCAUUGAUGAGGCUGCUCAAGCCAGUGAAGUUGCGGUACUUCCUCCCCUGUCUCUUGGUGCAGCCAGAUGUGUACUUGUUGGGGAUCCCCAGCAGCUUCCUGCAACGGUCAUCAGCAAGGCUGCUGGGACCCUCUUAUACAGUAGAAGCCUUUUCGAAAGGUUCCAGCAAGCAGGAUGCCCAACUAUGUUGUUAUCUGUGCAAUAUAGGAUGCACCCUCAAAUUAGAGAUUUUCCUUCUAGGUACUUUUACCAAGGACGUCUUACUGAUAGUGAAAGUGUUUCCAACUUACCUGACGAGGUUUACUACAAGGACCCUUUACUUAAACCUUAUAUGUUCUAUGAUGUUACCCAUGGCCGCGAGUCUCAUAGAGGUGGAUCUGUUUCAUACCAGAAUGUGCAUGAAGCAGUAUUUUGUUUGCGCUUAUAUGAGCAUCUACAGAGAACUAUAAAAUCUUUGGGUGUGCCAAAAAUCACUGUGGGUAUAAUCACACCAUACAAGCUGCAAUUAAAAUGCCUACAACGUGAGUUUGACAGUGUUAUAAAAUCAGAGGAAGGGAAUGAUCUCUAUAUCAAUACUGUGGAUGCAUUCCAGGGCCAGGAACGUGAUGUUAUAAUUAUGUCUUGUGUCCGAGCCUCAAGUCAUGGGGUGGGCUUUGUUGCAGACAUUAGGCGAAUGAAUGUUGCUCUUACUCGUGCCAGAAGGGCUUUAUUGGUAUGAUUUCUAUCUUCUAUUAUUCUAUGGUACCACUCUAUAGCUCAGAACAUCACCGAACUGCUUGAAGUCAUGUUUGUUUCAGGAAUUAACAUUGAUGUUUGAACAGGUUAUGGGUAAUGCCAAAGCUCUGGUGCAAUCCGAUGACUGGGCAGCCUUAAUUGCUGAUGCCAAAGCUAGGAAUUGUUAUAUGGACAUGGAUUCUCUCCCCAAGGACUUCCAAAAAGACUUGGUCUCCAAAGAUUUUUCUGGGUCCAGGGGACUUGGUUACCCUCCAUCACAAGGUAAAGCUUCUAACACAACGAGUUUCAGGUAUGCUGGACCGAGACAUAGAUCAGGAGAUAUGCACAUGGACUCCAGGUCAGGAACACCACUAGAAGAUGCAGGCAAGUCGAUUUAUAGGAAUGGUAAUUAUCGGCCAUUUAAGCCACCUAUGGAACCUUCCUUGGAUAACUUUGAUCAGGCAGGUGAUAAAUCUAGAGAUGCCUGGCAAUAUGGCACACAGAAGCGAAACUCAGCUGCUGCUCUGUGGAAAAAGGAUUCUUAGCCAUUAAUUAUUUGCCUACAAAAUAUUUGUGCACAGUGAAGAUCCUGGGAGCAAAACUUCAAUCCUUGUGAUUGAAAUUCGUGAAUAGGUCUUGGCUCCACAAAGGAUCCAAUGCAGUAGCUCGAGUUAUUUAUCUGUUCAGCCAACGCAAUUUACAAAAAGUUGGUACCACUGCCUGAUUUGUGUAUGAUACUUGCUGGUGGGCACCAACAUGCUUUUGCUCAAGGCCUCGUACUGUUUUUGCUAAAAAUCUGUCUCUGCAAAGUUUUUUCCUGGUAUCUUGCAAGGAGAUGGAUGAUUUUGGGGUAGGAUCUAUGAAACUGUACCCUAGAUCCACCCACAAGCUUCGAAGGUAAGAAAUAAAUCAUGAAGUCAAAGUUUUGUACUAAACAACUUGUGAUCUUUAUGGUUGCUUUUACAUAUAAUUAUAUUUGUAGAUGUUUCAUCCAGGAAUUGAUUGCUGACAUCGAGUAUGGUUCUGCCUAACCAACAUCACUUAGAUUGACUACUGAGAGCAAAUUGUUGCAAUCUGUGGCAUGACCUGGAUGAAAGUCUUUGAUACAUCUGGGCAGUCAUCCUGGUUUUUUGGCCCUUUGGUCCUGUAUCUCUCUCCACAACAUUCAGCUGACCCGCAGUUCCUGAAUGCAUUUGUUUAUGCUCUUCACACUUGAAAGAUGCUUACUUCAUUACAUGCCUUAAGGUUGCAAAAAUCUUGAAGUCUGCUCUGCAGGAUGUUUAUGCAGAACCGACACGGUUGUGAAAAGCACAGCCGGUACACACAGAUGAAGUAAACUGACAAAUUUUGAGGUCCGCAAUGUACGGGUUUGUUAACUGAAUAUUCUUUAUUUUCUUUGUUGCCGUUUUGUGUCGGCAAAGAUUAGGUGAUUUUCUUCCAUAAUUCUGUAUAGAAAAGGAAGAAAAGAGUACAGAAUUUGUUUUUAAGGGAAAAUCUCAUAGCGUAGGAAUUGUGAUGUUAACUGACUUUGUACAUACACCUUCUUCAGGUUCAGUAUCCUGUGGAAUCAUAGAAUUCUUUCACAAUGUUCUAAAGCUUUGUUCUUAGAAAGAAAAGAACAAAAAUCCAGAGAUUUGAAAUUCAAGUACCCAGGAUUUAUGUUAUUUCUCUUGUGUUUGUCAGGUAUAUGAUAAAAAGACAAUUUAAAUAUUAAACUGGGGACAGAUCAUCUUUUAUACUUGUUCCGUUAGGAAGGUGAUACUACUAAUAUAUUAAAGCAUUAUAAAAGAAAAGGUAAUCAUAAAAUUUAUAAAAUUUUUUUUGCUAAUUUUAUUUAUCACAUUAACUAAUCUGAAUUCGUUCGACGGAACAUGAUGAAAUUGAUUGAUUUGAAAUCGUCUAGGAAAAGAAGAUUUAUGAAGGAAUCAAAUUCCAUUCCAUGUAUUUGGAUCUUAUCCGAUAAUGCUGUCGCCAUCGAGCACACGUAAACAUAUCCUGGCACCAUUAAAUCGACAAAGUUGGACGGAGCUGUUUCAGGGCCACUUUUGUACCUUUGUGCAACUAGUAAGUCCACGUAAACCUACCCCCAUAACUUUAUACCAUCUUCAAUGUUUGAGCCAGCUCAGCCAGGCAACAGCAAUGAACACUGGCGAUUGUGUUUUUAAGAAAAAGCAUAUUUGCAGUCUUCUAAUAUCUAAGAAAUCAAUCUAAUAUCGAAGAAAACUCAAUUCACUUGAGUCGAAUUUUACUAUUUCAGAUCGAUUCAAUUGGUUGGUUUUUAUUUUUAUCCUUUUUUUCAAAAAUAACUUUAAUAUGUUAGGUCCCAAUAUUAUACUUCUAAAUCGAUUCUUAAAUUUUAAAAUGUUUAAUUACACAAGUUUAACUGUAUCCCAAAACUGUCUAGGUUAUAAAAGUUUAAUUGUAUCUUAAUUACAUCAACUAGAUCAUUUCAUUAGUAAAAUUUUUAAUUUAACUAUUAAAAGAUAUGUCAAAUUUUAUAUGACAUAAUUUAAAAUCAAAAUUUUAAAAGAAAUAAAACGUUGUCAUAUUACUUUUUAAAGAAAGAGUGAACGAUAAAGAUCUAUAAAAGCUUAUAACAUAUAUUUUUACAAUAUUUGUUUUCUUUAAAAUUUAUAUUUUAAAUUAUUUACAUAAGAUUUGAUGUGUAAUUUAACAAUUAAACUAAUUAUUUUAGUAAUGAAAUGACCUAAUUGAUGUAACAUCGAUAAUUUGGAUAUAUAAGAACUUUGAAGUUUGGAGAUCAAAUUUAGAAUGAAGGUCAUAGAUUGAGGAUUUCUGAUGUCAUUAACUUAUAUAAAUGUGCAUUUUUUAUUAUAAAAAUAAAAAGUAAAAUUUAGAAGACAAAAAGAAUUCAAUCCGAAUUUAACUUAUAAAUAAAAAAAUUGAAUCAAAUCAAAUUAGGGUCCAUUUAGAGAGACAUUAAAGUUUACAAUGUAAUAUUGGUAUAGAUUCAAAUGCAACAAUGAUGAAUAAUUCUUUUGAUACUUGGGGAUAAGGAGUGAAAUAGUUAGAUUAAAUCUAAACUCUUAUGCCCUGCAACACAAUAAACUUGUUACUAGAUUAAGAAGUUGUUGAGAACUUUAUCAAUUAUUAAUAAAAAAAUAAAUAUUAAAAUCAUGGUAAUAUAUCAAAUAAUAUUUCCAUCUAUACUAAAAAAAUUAUUCAAAAAAACAUUAACAAAGUUCCCUUGACUUGGAUCACUUUCGUUUCAAGGAGGAAAUGACAGAUUAGUAUGGAAAGUUGAUUUCAACGAGGUCUUCACAAUUAAAAAUGUUUAUUCCCUCCUCUUCAGAGGAAUUCCUACACACCUUUCAAUCGAGCUCAACAACUUGCCUGGGGUAAUCUUUGGCAACUUAAAAUACCUUUCAAAAUCAUCAUUUUUUUAUGGUUUUGGAACUACUGCCUCUCCACUAAAGACCUAUUUUCGAGAGGGCUCUCCAUCAAUGAUAAUAUUUGCCCACUUUCCUAAGAAGAUAGGGAAACCCCUACUUGCCUCUUUUUACACUGCAGUUUUGCUAGGGCAGUUUGGUCCGACUCCCCUCUUGUUCUUCACUCCGAUUCUCUCACAACUCAUUCAUCUCCGGUUGGAUUUUUCACUGGCUCCAAGGAAAUUGUAUCAACACUCAAGAUUCAAGAAACUUCUACACUGCUUCAACCUGCAUCCUUUGGAUCAUAUGGAAAUCAAGAAAUUAACUCAUCUUUAGAGGUUCUAAUUCAUGUCCUAUAGGGCCAUUACAAGAAUAUCGUAUCUUUAUAUUUCCAUUCUCAGUGCCUAUCAUGCUCAUUCUUCUCGGGCUUUUCAUUCAAGGAAUCAACCUGCUCUCAGCCUUGGUGAUCAAUUCUCCCAUCGGUCUCUAUCGUCCUACAUUAUUAAAAAUCGUCAAAAGGACAUGACUAGAGCAGCAGCUAUUGUUUAAAACUCUAAUGUGCUCCAACUGUUGUCCAUUCAAAACUUCAUGUUUCCCAGCAAUAUUCAGGCUAGAAUUUUAUCCUCCGUGCAAUUCUUUUAUCCCUUUUAAGUCUCAUAAUAUUUCUUCUUUUUAAGUCUCAUAAUAUUUCUUCUUGUAGGUUAUUGAAUAAAGACAAGAAAUGGAUCAAGAUCAUUCUUGGAUGCACCAAAGUAGGGUGAAAACUUCAACCAGCAUUUAAAGACAUCUAAAACCUCCUCCAAUUUAUUACCAUUGGACAACAGCCAGAUGACAACCUCAUUCUAGGAAGAGAAACGGUGAAGUGGGCAACAUGUGCUUCGAAGACUUUCAUUGGCUUCUCUUGGCCAUAAAUGUACCAAAAAACAACUAUGAUAGAGGUGAUUCAACUAUAUUUUUUUUAUCAUUCAAUUAUAAAACAAUACAAAUUGAUCACUCAAAUAUUAAUAAAUUUAUUUUUUUUGUUACCUAACUGUUUAAUUGUCUUUUUAGUUACUAUCUGGUUAAGGUAACAAUAGAAAUAUCUAAAAAUCUAAUAUAGUUGGGUGACAAAAAAGAUAAUUGAAUAAUUAAAUGAUAAUUUUGUAACAUUUCAUAGUUGAGUAAACAAAAAAGAAAUUUAUUAAUAAUUGGAUGACCAUUUUAUAACUUUUUCAUAAUUAGAUAACAAAAAAAAUUAUAAUUAGAUGACUACUAAUGUAAUUUACUCUUUUUAUUUAAAAUAAUUACAUAAAUUUAUUUUAGCCCUAAUCGGGAAAAUAAAAGUGAUAUAAGUAGAUAUAAAAUAUUAUUUGAUCUUAUAGAAUGGUUUUCCUAUUUCUUCACCCGAGCAUGAAAGAUUGUAUAAAACUGUAAUUACACGUCAUCUUUGAAAAAAUGACAAAUAGAAUAGGUAUUCUGAAUCAAUUGUCUUCGCAUUUUCCAUUAAUUUGAAUAAAGAUAAUAUCUUAUAUUUAUAUUCAAAUAUUUUUUAAAUACAAAUAUUGAACACAGGUCUUCCAAAUAAAUAAUUAAAAAAAAAUACAAAGAUCCUGACAGAAGAAAUCGCAUAUUUUAUAUUAGAAAUUCAAUAGAAUUCAGAGAAAACAGCAUGCAUAUCGUAUUCAUAUUCAUAUAUGACAAACUAGCAAGUAAAUUAGACUUCACAGACCGCCACUCUAAUCAUCUUCCUCCUGGUACACCUUCAUUACCUCAGCACAACCAGCUUCAGCCUUGUUGGCCAUAAACCCCAUUGCGUUGGCAAAACGGGUGUUGGAUGAAAUGCCGUUGAAGUUGGUCAAGACCACGCGUGCACGUUCACGUCCUGAUGACAUUUCAGCGCACUCCGGCUGCGAGCUCUUAACGAGAACAGCGUCACAGAUCUCAUCCAAAUGAUCCUCGGAGACAGCGAUCUUGUAUUGUCCGGUUGAGUCCGUGUGUCCUUCCUUCUCGUACACGACAUCACCGGUCUUCCGGUUGGAACAUACCACCUUAACCUUGGCACCUGACAGGAAACCAAAUGUACCAUUAAUCAAACCUAACAAACCUAACAGGUAACGGCAUAUACUCAAAUCUUGUGAAAAGUAUCUCCAAUCUAUCAACAGCAAUCAGUUAAGAACAAUACUAUGUUCCAUCUCCAUGAACGACCAUUUUUGUAUUCCAUUAAGCUAAGCAUGAUUAUGAGAGUCGAUCCACCUAAGACUUCCAAAUAAAUCAAAGAAAAACUCUGAAUAUCUUAAACAUAUCUAUAUCCAUGUUCGAAACUCACGUCAUAAUCCGAGUAACGUAGUACAAAACUAUGAGCAAAGCUAUCAUUUUUGGAACCGUAGUUUUUCUUAAAAGUUACAACUUUGAACCAAUCUGCUCUCAGUUGUCAAAUUCUAAGUAAAAAGGCUAUAAUUUUCAUGUUUUUAGGCUACUUAAAGCUUAUACUAUACCCCCUUUUCUCCCCAGAUUUGAAACUUUCCAGGUUUCAGUUAACCACAAGUCCAACUUGCCAAUAUUUUAUGUUUCAAACAUACCCCUAAUUUCUUCACUAACGAAACAUCAAAUCCCCUGAACCACGACACAGAACUACACGUGCACACACAAAAAGAAACAGAUCUAACAAUGUCAGCAACAAAACACACUAAAAAACAGGCAUAGGGAAACAUAGAAAAAACAUAUAAGAAAGGCAAAGAUGAAAAGUACCAGCCAUGUUUCUAGUCUUUGGUGUUUCAAACCCAGCACGGCAAUGGUCACAGUAAACUUGACCUUGAACCACCAACGGGUUCUUCACCAUGCGUGUAGCACUAACAAGACAUGGAACCACAAAUAGUGCAAUGAACAGCAAUAAUUUGGCCAUUUUUUUUUGGCUCUGGGUUUUUCUCUUGGGAAUGUAAUGAAGUAAUGGGAAGAAGGCGUGGAGAUUAAAGUCAAGAUAAAAAAGGGGGAUAAAAAGAGGGUGAUGAUAAAGUGGAGUGAUAUAAGGAAAUUAAACAAAAUGUGGGAACAGAAAAUGAUAACCGGGCAAGCCGCGUUAACAGAGUGUAAUCGUGUGUCUGUGGAUGGAGGAUUUGGUAAAUACCAAAGGGACAUGAGGGUAUUUUGGUGAAUGGAAAGAGUUGAGAUGGUGAGGUGGCGAGGUUUGAUUGGUGGGAGAUAGAACCAACUCCAAGUGGGGACGUCAUCAAUUGCAGGUUUCACUUUUCACGUUAGAAACGUUGUGCAAAGCAAGCAAGCAUAAGUUGCGGGAUGGCAUUAGCAUUACUUCUUUCAUUAUUUUUCAUUUUUCAUGUAUAAUUACUUAUUUAAUAUUUUAAUUUUAUAAAAAAAUUUAUUUUAUCGAAUCAUCUUAAAAUAAUUUUUUUUCUUUUUAAAAAAAUUUAAAAUUUAUAUUUUUUGUUGAUUCAUCUAAAAUAAAUAAAAAAAUUUAGAUAUUAUAUACAUGUAAAUUUUAUCGUGAAUGACACUUAAAUUUAAUUAAUUUUUAAAAUAUUAAAAAAAAUUUGCUGACAUAUUAUCUAUAUGGUAAUUUAUAUGUAUACCAUAUUAAUAAAGUUAAUAAAGAUUAAAUUUUUUAUCUAUUUUAAAGUAAUUUACUAAAAUAUAUAAAUUCAAUAAUAAAAAUAAAAAUUAAAUAAAAUGUUAAAAUAUUUUUUUUUGUAAAGACAAAAAAAGUCAUUAUGCCUUUUGUCCAACGCCAAUCACGCAGGCUUGCAAGGCAGAAGAUUUAAUGGGAUGGCAUUGCUGAAGGCGCCUGCUAUAGAUGGGCUUAAUGCACGGUUAUUUACGAGACGUUUAAACAUUGUGGCUCAAUUAUUUGUGACAUGGUUAGGGAAGGUAUUACGAGUACGAUUCUUGGAGCAUAUGGUUAUUUGUUAAGGAUGAUAAUUCUGUUCAAGGAUUUGAAUGUUUGCAAAACACUUUAUAUUAAUUUUGCGAAUUCUAGAUUAUAUUCGAAUUUAGAUAUUAAAAUUAUUAUAUGUUGCGAAUAUAAAUAGAUCUCUUGAGAUUUAUUAUUUGAAUUUAUAUGCAAAUUUAGAUAAUUUGUGGAUAAUUCAAAUAUAUUAAUUACGAAAUACUUAAAAUUUUCUUCUCAUAAAGUUUGAAACAAAUACCUUUGAUACAUAAAGGGUUAAAUAUACAUUUUAGUACUUGAAUUUGUCUUCAACAUUCAAAUUAAUAUUUAAAUUUUUUUUUAUCUAAGUAGGUACUUGAACUUGACUUUAAUAUUCAAUUUGGUACCUAAAAUUUAUUUUGAUUCAAUUAAGUACUUAAACUUUGCUUCUUGGUUCAAUUUGGUACUUGAACCUAACUUUUUGAUCCACAUUAGUAUUUACAACAAAUAACUUAUUUAAACCAAUUUGUUCAAGUACUAAUUCGAACCAAAAAGGUAAGUUUAGAUACUUAAUUAGACAAAAAAAGUUCAAGUAUCAAAUUGAACCUUGACACUAAGUUUAGAUACCCAAUUGGAUAAAAAAAAUUUAAGUAUCAAAUUGAACCUUGAGGCCAAAUUUAGGCACCUAAUUGGACAAAAAAACACAUUAGGUACCAAUUUGAAUAUUGAAGCCAAAUUUAAGUACCGGAAUAUAUAUUUACCCUACAUAAUCCAUGUUUUAACCAUUAAUAUUUAUCUUAAACUUUAAUUAUAGUUUACACAAAUAAAUAAAUAACGUAUAAAAACAUAACAAAAAUAUUUUCCUAAAAUAAAUAUAAAACUUAAUAAUAAAAUUAAAGUAAAUAUUUUAAACAUGUUAAUUUUAUUAGGAAAAAUAUAUAUAUUCUUUAAUAUUUUUUUAUCUUAAAUCUCAUGCGGCCUUUAUUAAAUCUUUUGUUCUGUAUCUGUAAAUCUAACCUAACAAUAUAUAGAAUCAUAGGAAUUCCUAAAUUUUUCAUACCCCUUUUAUUAUUUGACCAACUCAAUUAGUUAAAUUGUUUUAAACCAGUUUUUAAUUAAUAAUUAAAUAAUUAAAAAAAAUAUUAUAAUAUAAAUUUAUUUUGUAGUCAACCAAUUUUGCCUGGGCCCUUUUAAAGUAUUAAAAUAAGCCAAACAAAUAAGUCCAGGUAAAUUAAAUAAAAAACACACAAAUAAAGAAUCCAAAUUCAGAAGUCCGAUGUCCGGUUACAAAUAUUUGGGCCAAAAAUAAUUUAAACCCAAAAUCCCUUAAUAUAGAUUUAACCCAAUUACAUAAUCCAAGAGAGCUAUACUAAAAAAUCCUUAGUUCAAACAGCCCAAACCCGAAAGGAAUAUUAAUAGCCGAGAGCACUAGAAGUUUUUGGAAUGUCCCAGAACAGUGCCAGGGGGUUGGGCUCCCACGAGCAGUUUCCCUGCACGGCCUCUUUCGCGUGCACCUUUCCCCACUCCUCCGUACGGCCGUUCCUGCAAAGAACACACGAGAAGAAAGAGAUAACCGUAUUCACAGCAAAUGACAGCAAUGAAAAUGUAAUUUUAUUUUUAUUUUACUCUAUAAAUCCGGCUAUAAAAAGCCGUUGAAUGUACUCUAAGAGAUUUACGCACACUAUACGCAUACUGGGCACACAGAAUAGAAGAAAAGCAAUAAAAAUUAGCAGAGGUGAUUUCACGUUUUUUUUACUUUCUCUUUCGACUGUUCUCAAUCUAUUUUCUUCUUAGUUUGCUCGUUUUUACGUAACUUGAGGCCGAUGAGAGCCCCAAAUACUUCUGCGAUGCGGAUGUAAGGGCGAGAGGUCAAGCAACGUUGAAAGCUCCUUUAUUCUAUGAACCUCUUUUCAUUUUUUUUUUAAAAAUAACACGAGAUUUGAGAUUUCUUUCAAAUAAAGAAGAAAAGGAGUAAAAUAUAUUUACCAAAUCCUUUUAGGCAUAAUCGAACACCUUCAAUGGCGAGGUUGGGUACUGUUUGCAUGCUGUUGAUCACCAAAACUAUGGUGGUUCGGCUGCUAGCAAAGGAAACCCUAGCGAUUUGAUUUCAAAGAUGAGAUUUUGGGCCAAAUUGUGGGCUGUGUUUGGGAAAGAAUAGGGAAAGAAAGGUCUUAAAUGACCUGUUAAUGAAACAACACCGUGUAAGAGGGGGGUCCGCCUGUUAGUCCGUUCCAGGACCCGGAUCCGAACCUUUGUGCUUCAAAUGGGAUAUUUAUGCGGAUAGUCCUUCCCCUUUUGUGCCGUGUUUCAAUUUGUCCCUAUUUGCGUCUCACAUGUUUUUUUAAAUUUCUCCUAAAAUUUGCGUGUUUUUGCAAUUGGGUCUGCGCUGCAACACUACGUUUUGGGGCCUGGACUAUUCUCAUUUCUAGUCCCUAUACAUUCGCGCACAUUGCACAUUAAUCCUAUUUGUGAUACUUUAUUUGUAAAUUGACCCUUUUGUUUUAAUUUUGUUUUAAUUAAGCUUUUAUCAUCUUUUUAGCCACUGCAUAUUUACUCUCUAUUACAUGCUAGAUUAUAUGUUUUGAUAUUUUUAAUAAUUUCGGCUCUUUUAUUCUAUCAUUUUGAUAAUUUGUAUAUUAUUUGCAAUAAAAUUCAUUUUAGUUUAUGUAUGGUGUAAUUUCUUUUGAAUUUAUUUACAUAUUUUAAUGUUUAUAUUUCUUGAAAUUCAUUUAUUUUAUGCGUCAUUUAGGUUAUCAUUAAGCAUAUAUUUUUGCAUUUAUAUUUAAUCUACAUAAAUUAUUAAAGCCAUGUUAUUUUUUAAAAUAUAUAGCUUUUUAAAUUUGUACCUAAUUGUUUUUUAGUUUUAUUAAAUGUAUAGUAUAUGAUAAAAUUAAGUUAAUUUUAUAAUUCAUAUUUUUGUUCCAUGUUAUUUUAAACAUUCAAUUAUUUCUAAAAUUUCUUCACAUGUAUAUAACCCAUAUUAAAUUAUUUUACUAUAGUCUACAUUAUUGAUUUCAUAUUAAUAUUUCUUUUAUGUAUAUAUAUAUAUAUUUAAAAUUAUUCAUGCGUAUAAUGCGUUUAUUUUAAGAAUUAUAUUUUAAAUCAUGUCAUUCAUGUAUUGUAUACAUUCUCAUAUUUUAUUCUCCUUAUAUAUGUAUUAUUUAUAUGUACCAUCAAUCCAAACCAAUUUGUUACAUGUAAAAUUAUGUUAUAUAUUAUUUGUUUUAAAAUUUCCUUUAUAAAUAUAGUUUUAUGAAUAUACAUAACUAAAUUUAUGUAUUUUGUAAAUAUAGUUUUUUACCUUUUUGUGUAUAUGAUUAUAUUUUCUAAAAUUUGUUACAUGUAUCAUUUAUAUAUUUACUUAAUUUUUCAUACAUUAUUAAUUUCAUGCUAUUUUUUACAAAUAAUUAUUUCUAAAUUUAUUUAUAUACACGUUUUUUAUGAAUUUUUUAUGUACAUUAUAUCCUAUCAUGUGUUUUAUUUUUCUUUUAUAUUUUAUAUGUAAUUUAAGCUACCAUGCAUAUUUGUCAAUUUUUAAAACUUGUGUUUAAAAUAUUUUGCAUAUUAUUCGAUUCAAAUGUUUUAUUCUACAAUAUUUAUUUCAAAUAAUUAUAUAUCCCUAGCUUUCAUACCAACUUGUCAACUUAUGUUAUGUGUUAAUUAAUUCAUCAUUAUUUUGAAUAUGUCUUAUACUAUAUUGACUUGUAAUUCCAUUUUAUUUUGUACAUAUUUUGUGGAUCGUUUUAUAUUGUGCCAUGUUAAUUAUUGUUGUAUAUUAUUUUUGUAUUGACUGUUCACCAUCCAUGAUUAAGAAUUUGGUUACAUUUUACUUAGAAUAGUUGUACAUAAUUGUUGGAUUUAUUAAUUGUGACUUGUUGUAUCCUAUUAUUUCAUGUUCAUUAAUCCUUUCCUAUGCAAAUGUUUCAAUACAAUGCAUUAAGUAUUCCAUCUAUUUUAAAACAAAUAAACGUGUUUUGAGCGAAUUUCUAAUUUUCUUUAUUAUUCAAAAAUUUUGAAAUAAGGCAAUAUCCAAUAUUUGGGAAUUCGGAAAAUCGUGCUCAAUCGUACUGGGUAUGAUUUUUUCGGUGAACUAAAUAUUUGAAUAACCUUUUAUAAUUUUAGUGUACGAGUUUUCAAAAGUCAAAAAUCAAUUGUAUUUUUAAAGGUAUAAAGGAUCGUAUCCAAUCGUGCUAGGUAUAAUACUGCAUAUCUUUGAAACGAGAGAAUUUUGACGCUAAUUUGAACUAUUCAAACAUUUUAAAAAGAAUCAUACUUUGAAAAAUCUUUUCUUUAAAAAACCUUUUGCUAUAAGGAUAGCAUCAAGUCAAUUUGGUACCAAUUUUUGGGCGUAAUGAGGGUGCUAACCCUUCCUCAUGCGUAACCGACUCCCGAACCCAUUUUUUGAUUUUAUGUGGACCAAAUUUAUUUUUAAUGGAAUAAAACGUUUUAAUAGGUGGCCCAAUCACACCUAAAUCAAGAGAUUGGUGGCGACUCCACAUUUUUGUUUUCAAGAGUCGAUCCCCAUUGUUUUCAAAAUAAAAAUUAACAAUAGUCUUGCUAUGCCUGAAUUAACAAUGAAAGAAGAAUGUUACUUCUUAGGGCAUUGACAAAGUACUCCGGAUCCCCUAAACACAGAUUGAGCUCAGAAUGGUCCUCAAGAAGUUGGUACGGAGAAGCUCAAGCUGCGAUAUCUGGGACAUCUAGCUUUCCAUUUUUACCUUUUUUUUGUUAUCUUUGAUUACCUUUUUCUUUUCAGGUCACGUCCAAUAAGUUUCUUUCUUGGUUGCAUUUGCUUAUUUGUUUCGAGAUAUGUUCUCAAUUAAUUCCUUUCUUGUCCAUGGUUAUGAUCUUCUUCAAGCAUUUUGCAUUGAAAUAACGAUUUUUGGACUAAUAAUACUUUCAUAAAGGGAGUUUCGCAUAUUACUUUGGGGAGUUUCUAAAUAAUACAAGAGCCUGAAAUAGGACUAUUGUUUAAAACCCACCAAGCUUAAGGGUUGGAAAUAUUUAAGCCCAAAUUGAGAUUAUCUCAUUGGAUUUUUUGUCAAAGAUAUUGGUUGAGCAAAAAGAAAAUUACAUUGGUGUUAUAAUCCCAGCAAAGAGCGAGUAAUGAGGUUAUUCUCAAGAAAAGAAAAAUGCUAUUCUGUAUUCAUGCAGAUAUCAGGCAUAUCCAUCUGUUCAUUAUACCCAAGGAAUGGUGUAAUAGAUCAAAUUGAUUGAAGAUCCUAUACCUCUGAGUUACAGCAGGAUGGAUAGAAGAAAUCAAAUGAUUAUUCCCCUGAAGUUGCAGUGGGAAGUUCAAACUUUAUGUCCCAGAAGUCACAGUGUAAGGGACUCUGGAAUUAUGGCAGGGCAAGCUUGCUGAACAAAAUGUGAUUGUUUCUUUGGGUUUUCUUUCAAGAAUAUCAACCGAACAAGAUGGCAGCAUAAUAAAUCAGUGAUAGUGUCCUGGUGAACAACGAGCAAUGAUACCUUAAGGUUUUUUUUUAAAGAAGGAAAAAAGAUCAUUCUCAUUUUUUGCAUUCAUUCAUAACACAUCCAGUUAGGAGCAUUUGAUUCAUUUCAAUCAUAGCAUCCUAAUUAUUUGACAUAAGCAUCACAUCUAGUUAGGUGCAUUUGAUUCAUUUUGAUCAUAGCAUCCUAAUUAUUUGACAUAAGCAUCACGUCUAGUUAGGAGCAUUUGAUUCAUUUUGAUCAUAAUAUCCUAAUUAUUUGGCAUAAGCAUGAUACAUGAAACCGAAUCUACAGGACAGGUUCAAGAGGACGGUGUAGUAACAUCCGUGAAGUCAGAUCUUAUAUUCCUGAAGUUGCAGCGGAAUGGAUCGAAGAUUACAAACCUUAUCUCCCUGAAGUUAUAGUGGAGCAGGUUGAAGUGUCAAUUGCAGUAAAGCAGAUCAUAACAAGUCUUAUCUCCCUAAGGUUGCAGUGGAGUAGACUGAAGAUUGCAGGUCUUAUUUCCCUAAGCAAUAGUGGAACAGACCAAAGACGACGAGUCUUAUCUCCAUGUACUGGCAAUGGAGUAGAUUUAAGUCACCAGCCUUAUCUCCUUGAAGUUACAGUGGAGCAGGCUCAAUAUACAAGUCUUAUCUCCCUGAGGUUGCAGUGGAGUAGACUGAAGAUUGAAGAUCUUAUCUCCCUAAGCAGUAGCCGAGCAGAUCGAAGAUGGCGAAUCUUAUCUCCAUGUAUCGGCAAUGGAGCAGAUUUUACCAUUGGCCUUAUCUCUUUGAGGUAGCAAGAGAGCAGGUUGGCGAUUGUAGUCUUAUCUUCCUGAGAUAGUAAGGAAGCAGACUGAAAAUUGAAAAUUUUAUAUCUCUAAGUAGUAAAGGAGCAGAUUGAAGAUGGUGAAUCUUAUCUCCAUGUAUCGGCAAUGGAGCAGAUUUUACCACUGACCUAAUCUCUCUGAAGUAGCAAGAGAGCAGGUUGGCGAUUGUAGUCUUAUAUUUCUGAUGUAGCAAGGAAGCAGACUGAAGAUUGAAAAUCUUAUCUCCCUAGGCAGUUGCGGAGCAGAUUGAGGAUGGCGAAUCUUAUCUCCAUGUAUUGGCAAUGGGGCAAAUUUAAGUCACCAGUCCUUUUUCCCUAAAGUUACAGUCAAGAUUCAGUAAAACCGGGCAAAAUUGGCCCUAUUUAAAGUCUUUGCUCUACUCUCGUUACACGACAAUGAGCAAAGAGGGGCAACUGUAAGACCCAAUUUGUGCCUGGGCUUACACCAAAACCAAAACCAAAACCAAAAAAUAAAACAAAAAAUAAUAAAAUAAAAAAAAUAAUAAAACCAAAAUAAUUUAAAAGUCCAGUCCAUUUACAUUUAUUAAACAAUAAACCCAACCUAAUAAACCUAAAUCCAAAAGACCCCAGGCCCAAAAACACCAACUGAACUUUUGGCUAACCCUAGCCAACAGCCACUGCCGCAAACACCAUCAGCAGCCCUAACUCUUCACGCCCCACGCCGACAAGCUCACGAGCGGCUUCGCCAUGCCAUGCCUACCUGCAACAAAAUAACAGAAUAACAACCAUAACAGUGCAGCAAUUGACAGAAAUAAGCCAGCAAAUGACAGCAAAAAUUAGAGUUUUUUUCUAAAAUUUUUUAUUUAUUUUGUAAAUCGGUUAUAAAAAGCAGAGAAAAAUCAAUGUAAAAGAGGGAGAAUUUGUUUUUUCAGAGAAAGAUUUUACGCAUACUAAAUACAAUCAAAUAUUAGAAGGUGAUUUUUAAUCUAUUUUUGGCAUUUCGAUUUGUUUUUUUUUUCCUUUUUUCUUGCCUGCACUUUUCGGCAUAUAAAAAAUAAAGAGAAAUGAGAGAGGAUUACCUUCGUGGGUGUACCGUCGGGGUCAUUGUCUCCUCCGUCGAAAUCGAAGUUUUAAAUGAGGAUUUUCAGGUGAAAAUCAGUUUUGAAUCUCGGCUUUAAUAGAGAUAAAGAGGGCCUUCUCAUCAUUCAUCGAUUUUAAUGGUGAAAAUGGUGGUUAAAUGGUGGAUGAGGGAAGAGUUUUUUUGGUUCGGCUGAAGGGGGAAGGAAGGAGGCUUUAGUUUUUUUUUUUUUGCUUUGAUUCUUUUUCAAGUGGCUGAGUGUUAGUCUAGGUUUUUUAGUUUUGAGUUAUGAGAUUUAGUUUUUAAGGGAUAAUUGCACAAUUCGUCCCUCCCUUUCGCGCUAUUAGUCAAAUCGAGUCCUGUUCGAUUUCUUUUGCAUUUUUUAAUUUUUAUUUGGGAUUUACAUACCGUUUCAAUUUAGUCCAUGUCUAAAUGCUUUGUUUUGAGAUCUGGAACAUUUAGCUUUUCAACCCCCGCGUAUUUGCACGCGUUGCGCUUUCGUCCUUAGUUUUGUUUCAAUGCUCUACCUUAUUUAUUAAUUAUCUCUUUGAAUUUGAUUUGAUUUCAAUUAAGUUUUUAUUUCAAUCUGUAUAAUUCAUUUUCUAAUUCAUAUAACAUUCAUUUUUUAAGAAAUUUAUUUCUCUACAUGUUUUGAAUUACUUUGGUAUUUUACUUUGUUUUUAUUUUUAUUUUUUUUGUUUAAAUUAUUAAAAUUAUUAUUUUAAAAGUUCCUUUUAUAUCAUGUUGACUUGAAAUUAUGUAUGAUAUUAUGUUUAUUUUUUAUUUUUAUUUUUGUAAUUAUACAUAUAUAUUUUUUGAUAAAAUUAGUUCAAUUUUGUAUACAUUAUCGUUUUUACAUUAUUUUAUGUAAAUAUUUUCUUUGAAAUCUAUUAUAUAUAUACAUUUUCUUUUAAAUUUAUUUAUGUAUAAUUUGUUUCAGGAUUCUAUUUAAAAUUGUAUAUUUUGUUUAUUUUAGACAUUUUCAUAUAUUAGCAUUUUUGUAUACACAUUAUUUAUAUUAAGAUUUCAUUUCAUGUAUAUUAGUUAUUGUGGAUAAAUCAAUCUUGUUUCGAAUUAUUUUGUAUGAUCAUUAAUUUCGUAUUAUAUAAAUAAUAGUUCAUAUACGUUCUUUUAUAUAUUUUUAUACGGUUAUAUUUAUCUUUAAAACUUUCUAACAUGUACAUCAAUGGUUUAAAAAUUUUAUAUUGACAUCCAUUACUAUUUUUAUGAAUAUAAUUUAUAUUAUAUUUUAUUGAUAAAUUUUGGGUUUAAAUUAUUUUUGUAUAGUAUUCUUUUCAAAGUUCUUUUUAUAAUACUUAUUUUAAAAAUUCAUUUAUAUAUAUAUUAUUUAUUCUAUAUUUUUAUUUAUUUGAUGAUUUAUUUCAAAUUUUUGUGAGUAUUAUUCACUUAUAUACACACCCCUAGCUCUUAUAAAUUAUUUCAAGUUCUAGCAUAUGUUAUUUGCUCAUCAAUUAAUCUUUUUUAGAAAUUGUUUUUGUAUCGUAUUAGUUUUAUGUUGUUUGGUACCUCAUGUGGUAAUUGUUUUUAUAUUAUUUCAUAUAUAUUUGUUACACCACAUUUGCUUGUUUUUAUGUAUUGUUAAAUCAAUCGUUGCUCACCCAUGCUUGUGAAUUUGGUUAUUUUGGAUUAAUUAUAUUUAAUUAUUCGUUUCAUAUUUUAGUUAAAUAAGGUUCUGUUAUCUUCAUUCACCAAGUACUGUAUUUUAUGCAUGUAUAUUAUCCCAUGAUUGUUAUUUUUUCUUUUGGUUUAUAAAAUGUUGCUUUAUGGUCUUCAACUCUUUAAAAUCAAUUAUUCCAUUUUGUUUCAAAUAAAAUCAAUGCAUUUUGAGAUAAUUUACAAUCAUUUAUUUAAACUUCUUUGUUAAAAACAAGACAAUAUUCAAUAUUUAGAAAUUCAAGAAAACAUGCCCUACCGUGCUGGGUACGAUUUUUCGUUGGACUGAAUAUCUGGAUAUCCUUUUAUAAUUUUUGACCUAAGAGCUUUUGGAAAUCAAAACUCAAUCGUGUUCUCAAAAGUAUAAAAGAUCAUGUCCUAUCGUGCUGGAUGUGAUGCUUUAUACCUUUGAAAUGAGAAAGUUUUGUAAUAUCCUGAUUUUGGGCCUAGUAGGAAUGGUGGUUCCGAGACCACAAAUCUGAGAUAGAAAUAAUUAUUUUGAGGUCUAUGAUAUGAUUUCAUGAUUGUGUGAAAAUUUCGUGAAGAAAUUCUAUGCAUAAAGUGCUUAAUUUGAAAUUAGGGACUAAAUUGAAUAAAUUGCAAAACUUAUGUUCUAGAAGCAUUUUGCAUAAAAUUGAAUUAGAUUAUUAACUAUAGGUCCUUGAAGAGUAAUUUGACCAAUUUAUAAAAAAAAAUUGGACAAAAAUGGGCUUGGAAGGGUAAAAAUUUAAAGAAUAGUAAAAAGGGUAUUUUGGUCAUUUAGGGGUAAAAUGAAUUAAAAGACAAAUUUUAAAACCCAAAUGUGUCCAUCUCCAACCCCAUGGCCGAAUAUAGCAAGGAGAAACCAUGUCUAGGGUUUUUCAAGCUUCCAAGCUCGAUUGUAAGUCCGUUCUAGCCUCGUUUUUAAUGUUUUUUACGUUUUUGGAGUCCCGGUAACUUGAUUUAGCUUAUGCUAGCAAUAAUUUAACCUAGGGUUUAUAUUUGGAAAAAUACCCAUAGGUGAAAUUUGUGUAUUUUGGUGUUUUAUGAUAGAAUAUGAGGUUUUAAAUUAUGUUAGACAACUUGUGCUAUUCGGUUUUAAGUGAAAACGAGCAAAAGGGCUUAAUCGGUAAAAAUACCUAAUAGUCAUAAGUACAUGUUAGAGUGAGAAUUUGAUGUUGCCAUAGAAGGGAAAAAUGAUCAUCAUGUCAUAAAACAUAAGAAAAUAGGCUGAAGUUUAAUUUACGAGCUUUGGGGCAAAAGUGUAAAUAUGCAAAAGUUUAGGGGCAUAACUAUAAUUUUUCCAAAAUAUGAUUUUGGGUCAAUUUGAAUAAUGUGAGUCCUAAUUAGACUAUAUUUUAAAUAAUAGAGUAAGGAAAACUGAAAUUCAGGCUAAAAUGGGAAAAAUACCAAGUUGUGGACGAAAUGGUAAAAGUAGCCAUUUUCGCAUACGAGGUAAGUUCAUAUGUAAAUGUUGGUAACAUAGUUAUUAUUUUAAAUGUUUUAAUGUUAUUUAAAUGAUAUGAUAAUUAUUAUGAAAUAUUAUACUUGUGAUAAUUGUUUGAUAAUAUGUCAAAUUAUGUGAUAUACUUGGAAAAUGUGAAAUACUACCGAGUGUCAGUAUCGGCAUUCCGUAGAAGAUGGUUGAGACACAUGAUUGGGAAAAAGGUCCCAUUGAACCUUAGGAAUGGAUUAGGAUACAAGUGACAUGUCACUAGGAUAUUUGGGCAUCUGAACUCGUUGAGUUGAGUCCGAGUUCACUUAUGGAUGCGAAUAUCCGAACUCGUUGAGUUGAGUCUGAGUUCAAGAGAUGUAACUAGGCAUCCGAGCUCGUUGAGUUGAGUCCGAGUUCACUUAUGGAUGCGAACGCCCGAGCUCGUUGAGUCGAGUCCGAGUUCACUUAUGGGCGGGUUACAUGGUAGCUUGGCUACAUAUGUGGCACUUAUGUGCAAACUUUCCAUGUAUCCGAACUAUAUUCCGAUGUGUUCAACGGGUAAAAUUCUACUCAAAUGGAGGAAUACUCGAGAUGAAAGGGACGUAUUGGUAAGUGUUAUGAAAUGGAUACUUUGAACAGGUAUGUACUUAACCCUCGGGUUGAAAACUCGAUAUAACAACAAUAUGGUAAGAUGAUAAAUGAAAAUAUGAUAUGAAUGUCUUGGUGAUGAUUAUGCAAAUGAUGUUUUAUGUUUGCUUAUAUGGUUAUAUUACUUGCUAUUUGCAUGUGAACUUACUAAGCAUUUAUGCUUACUCCCUCCUUUUCAUUCCUUGUAGUUUUGACAAGCCAGUUCGGAAAUCGGGAACGGUCGGAGGCUCGCUCACACUAUCCGUGUAUCAUCUUGGCAUAAUGGCUUGUAUAUUUUGAGCAUGGCAUGUAUAGCAUCAUUUUGUGUAUAUGGUCUUAUGAUAUGGUUAUUGAGUGGUAUGGAAAUGCUUGAUAAUGAUUAGCUAUUGGAAUGGCUAAUCAUGAUCAUAUUUGGUGUUAUGUAUGCUAAGUUGCUAGCUAAUCCAUGGAAACCAUGAAAUAGGUAAAAUUUACCAUAAAAUAGAUUCAGACAGCAGCAGUGACGUGACUUUGAAAAAUCAUUAAAAAUAGUAGAGAUAUAAUUAGAUGAUGAAUAAAAUAUGGAAUUGAAGAAUUAUGAGUCGAUUUUCAUAUGGAUGGAACAAAACAGGUAUAUGAGUUAUAUUUUAUGAGAUGUUUAAAUUUUUGUGAAACAGGGCCAGAGCGAUUUCUGGAUCCCCUGUUCUGACUUUAAAAAAUUCAUCAUAAAUUUUACAAAAAUAAUUAGAAGUCAUGCUUUAUAUUUACAGAUUCCUUAUUGAGUCUAGUUUUAUUAUAAAUAAACGGCAUAGUCAUUGAAACUCUGUACAGGGAGAUAUCUGAUUCGUAAUACACAGAGGUCAGAGCAGUCGAACCCUGAAAUAGGGGAGACUUUAACUAAUAAACUGUACUAAUUGGCUUGACCAAAAAUUCUAGAAAAAAAUUAUUAAAUAUAUAUAUGAGUCUAGUUUCAGAAAAAAUUUACGGAAUUGGAUUUUGAGUUUCGGAAUUAUAGAUAUGAAUUUUUAAGCAACUGUGACGCAGAUUGCCAGCUUGACUGGAAAUUUUAAAAAUAAAUUGUUUGAGCUGUUUAAGUAAUGAAUUAAGUCUGUUAACACCUCGUUUUCAACUCCGGCGAUGGUCUCGGGUACGGGGCGUUACAUUUGACAACCAGCCUAAACCACUCAAAUGUUUUAAGAGGAAUCAUAUUUCAAAUUUUUUUGAAAAAACCCUAGACAUAAGGACAACACUUAAUCAAUCUGGUACCAGUUUUUGGGCGUAGUGAAGGUGCUAACCCUUCCUCAUACAUAACCGGCUCCCGAACCCAUUUUUAAAUUUACACGGACCAAAAUUGUUUUAAAAUGUUUCAUUAGGUGAUCCAAUCACGCUUAAACAAAAAGAUUGGUGGCGACUCCACAUUUGGUUUUAAAAAGUUAAUCCUCGUUUUUUCCUAACUUGAAAAAUGGUUUCGACAUAUUUUAUAAUCAAACAUUAUUAUAAAAAUAGUAUUAUAUACAUUUAGGGGCAUAAAAUAUGUGAAUUGUUAUAUAUGCAAAACAAAUGUAUAAUUAUUAUACAAUGUUGGUUCUUUUGUUAAUGACAUGCAACCUAAAUAUUAAAUGUGUCGUGAUAGUUGUUGUGAAAAAUAAUGAUGUGGCAGCUAACAGGAUAAUUAACGUGAAAAAAUGUUGAAGUGGAAAGUUUAAUUGAUUUUUUUAAUAAUUUAAGCCUAAAUAUAUUGAAAUAUUAUAAAUUUUUUGAAAAUGUAAUAAAUAUAGAAAAAUUAGAAAAAUGAUAAAACUAUUAAAUAGUACAAAAUAUUCACAUGUUAUGAAAAUAUUAUAAAAAUUUAGAAAUUAUAGAUUUUUUUAAAAAAUUAACCUAUAAAAACAUAGAAAUUUAUAUAAAAAUAAUUAAAAUGAUGAAAAUUAAUAAAAAAAUAUAAAAAUAUAUAUAAGAAAAUUAUAGAAAAAUUUUUUAUUUUUAAAGUUUGAUUUGGUUUAGUGGGGAGCUUGAAUGAUGCGAUCUCAUCCACAUCAUGUUUGGAUACACCUCGACGACAUCGAGAUUGGCCUAAACUCGAGAGGCCCAAGUGCAAAAUGAGACUUUUAAUUUCAGUUUGUUAAUAAUUGAGUUGCUGUACUUUAUUUUUAAUUGAACUCAUCUUAGUUAUUAAAUUAAGUUGCUGGAAUCAAUAUUCAAGGAGGAUUAAGUCAUUUAUCCAAGGAGAAUCACUUACGAAGAGGCGAAUGUGUUUCGAAAGCAUCAAAGUACCCGCCCACGGAGAGACAUUCACGAAUAAGUGAUCUUUACUCCUAUGUAGAUUCUUUCCCUUCUUUCUGUUGGAAAACUUGUCAUUCUGAAUCUUUCAUGUUACCUUGAUCUUAUAAUGAAAUUAAAAGAAGAAAAAGAGAUAUGAAAGAAAAAGAAAAUGAAAAAGAGAAAGAGUGUGAGAAAGAAAAGAAAAUUGAAAAGGAGAGUGAGAUUGAAGAAAUAAACGAAAGUGUGAGUGGAGCGAUUGAUAUUAUUGAAAAAGAAAGUGAAAUAAGGAGUGAGAGUGAGAUUUCAAAAGAAAAGGAGACUAAUGAAAAGAAAAGAGAGCCUGAAAAAUAAACGAGUGGAAAAGAUGAAAGUGAACUAGAAAAAGCGAUGAAUGUUUUUACUAACCAACCUGCGAGUUGUCCUCGUAUUGUUUCUUCUUUUCAGGUGUCUAAAGAUUCAAUUGAUGUGUUUCAACUUCAAUACCUUUCCAAAGAGAGGCGGUUUCAAUUGAUCGAGAAAGGUAAGGUCGAAGUUAACAUUAAACCACAAGUGUUUAAAGGUAAGCAAGGUAAUGAGUUUUUAGCCAUUGAAUCACGACAAUCACAUUUGAAUGUUGAUGAGAAAAUUGCUGAAGACUUAGUUUUUGAAAGAACUCCUCACCUUAAUUCGAUUAACUGUCAUUUUCUGAUUGUUAAUGAUUUUGCUCCAACUAGUGCCAUGAAAAGUUUUACCUAUGAUAAGUUUUGUGAUGGCAAUUUUGUUUAUGUAAUUAGGCUAAAUCGGCAUGUGCAAAGCUUGAUUGUUUGUGAUAAAGAGUUUUCGUGUGAAGCAUUCAAUCUGUUUGAUCACGAUGGUAAUGAGAAUUCUUUAACUCUUAAUGGGAAAUCCACAUGUAUUUUUAUGCCUAUUUGAUUGAAAUUUAAGAGGUUUGAUUGUUUGACUGAUUAUCUGCUUACAUCUUCUUUGUUUAGCAUAUGUGAGUUAUUGGUGAAAAAGAAAUUUAUGCUGUAUUUUGGCAAGAAUGAUCAAAACCAUGUUUUUAAGCUCGGAACGUGUUUUCAUAAUUUGAUGUUAAGCAAAGGUGAGUAUCAUAAAUUCUAUGUGAAUAGAUGCGUGAACAGUCUUUACUUGUUUGAUGUUUUAUCAUUAUGUUCGAAAACAAAGCAUGUAAAUUUUGUUGCCUUACAAAGACAAAAUCCAAUAUUUGAUUCCGGAGAUUGUUCUAUGACAUGGCUAAAAGGAUUCGCAUAUUCUUUGCAUGAUUACAAGUUUCACUUGCUUCAUGUUCCUUCCAUGAUGCCGGUCAUGAAUUUUUCAAAUCAAAUUGAAGUGGUAAACAAAAACUUUGUCUUUGAUCCAGGUGAAUAUUAUUUUAUAUCAUUGUCCAAGGGACUUGAACCAUGGAAUUUUGCCUUCUGAGAUUAUGGCUUUCGAAUGAUUUGUGAUUCGAGAUUGUCUCUAUCAAAGAACAAGGUAAGACCAACGGUAAGAUCAACUUCUAUUUUUGAUUCUGACGCUAGAUUAAGCGUUCAAUUGUUGAAUCAUUAUGAGAAGGUAAAGCCAAAUCAUGUUUUUGAUCCCUGCAUUGUUUCAUUUGCUAAAUUUUUGAAUGAGAUUUCAGGAAAUUCUUUUGAGUUUAUAAUUUCUAGUGUCACAAAUUUGUUUCAUUUUUAUGUAGCCGACAAUCUUAAGGGGUACCCUUUUAAAGAGGGAGGGUAUGCAAAUAACCUGCUUCCCUUGCGAACCAUUUAUGGUUCUCAUGUUCUUGGAAACGAUUUUGUCAAAUUCAUGAACAAAGGCGUUCGUGAUGGUGAAAAAUUUUUCUUGAGCAAAUGACUCGAUUUGAGGACAAAUCAUCUUCAAGAGGGAGGGUAUGAUGAGAUCCCAGCCGCAUCAUGUUUCGAUACACCUCGACGACAUUGAGAUUGGCCUAAACUCGAGGGGCCCAAGUGCAAAAUGAGGCUUUUAAUUUUAGUUUGUUAAUAAUUGAGUUGCUGAACUUUAUUUUUAAUUGAACUCAUCUUAGUUAUUAAAUUAAGUUGCUGGAAUCAAUAUUCAACUUAGUUAAUUGAGUUGUUAGAAUAAAUACUUAUCUUAGUUAAUUUAAUUGCUGGAAUAAUUUAUUGUUACAUGUGUUUUAAGUUUAUUAAUUAAGUUAGUUAAGUUUCAUGUGUUUAAAGUAUUUAAUGUGUUUAAUGUGUUUUAAUGUGUUUGUUAAUGCUUGUAGGUGACUAUUUAGCUAGAAUCAGUUACAAACAAGGGGCGGUUACAAACUGUUAAAUGCAACUUUUUAGUUGGAAUCGGUCACAUACAAGGGGCUGUUGCAACAUUUAAAGAAGAGCAUUAUGCACCAACAAAUUUAGGCAGCCUAUUCCUCUUCUCCAAGGAGUUAUUCAAGAACAGCAAUAGACAACAAUUAAAGGAGAGCAUUAACCAAGUUGCUGGUGUUUAUUCAGCUGCCCAAGCAUUCAAGUUCAACUAAAACAGCUGAAUUGAAACAUUAAAUCAUGUUAAUAGUUGUUGUUACUUAGGUUUAGAGAUUCCAAGAGUUUGUGCUUAAUAAUUAAGUUUUUAUUUAGCUCAUAACCGCACAUUAAAGCUGAAUUCAUGUGACUUUUCAGCUAGGUCUCAUGUAAGCACUAUUAAUACUUUGUAAUUAGCUUGUUUAAAGAAAACUUUUGUUGAAUUUAUGCUAAAUUUAAAAGUUGUGAGAUUUCCAAUUCUCCUUGUUCUUUUAGGACUAAAUUGACUUAUCAAGUAUUCUUGUGGUGUCAAUCUGUUCUUUGUUAAACCGAACUUAUUACCUUUGGUGUGGCGUUCAUAUACCUAUGGUUCCUAUCUUGCAUAGGUAGCGAGUCAAGAUUCUUUGUUGAUUUUUCCUAAACCUAAAUUCAUCUAAGAGCUACUUUGAGACUCGGGUCAACAAUCUCAAUAUUGUUGGUUCAUUCUCUACCCUUAGCCGAAUCACCCAUUCCAUACUUUACUAUCUUUCUUUUAAGAUCUUAUUUGAAGCUUUUCUAUUAUUUUACAUCCAUUUCGAAACGAACCAAGUCUUACUCAAAUUCACGAUUAGGCAAUUUAAACGACUCAAAUCAUCAUUGAAACGAGUUCGUAUCAUUGAAUUGUGAUGGUUAUUGGACUUGUAUAGAGUGUCGACUAAAGGAUCUGAGAAACAAUAAGUUUAGUGUUUGAAAACUUAAAGUGAGUGAUGAUUAAUGUUUUUGGUUGAGGAGAAAAAAUGUGAAGGAAAUUGAUAAGAAUGGAUUGACGUGAGGUAUAAUGUAGUGCAAGGUGUGAAGGAAAAAAAAAAGAAUAGUAAUUUUUAUCAAUUCUUUUAAAAAACCAUUAGAUAUUAUUAAAAUAUUACAAAAAUUUAAAAAUUAUAAACAACUUAUAUGAGUUACUAAAAAUUUUAAAAAAAUACUUUUAUAAUUUUUUAUAAAGUUUUAAUAAUUUUUAUCAUUUUUAUAAUUCUUUUGAGAAUUUUUAUAUAAUCUCUAAAAAUCAAUUAAGUUAUCUACGUCAAAUGUUAGGUCAACUGUCACAUCAUCAUUUUCCCUCACAUCAACACUUAACGAACCAUUAGGGCCUUUGAUGGAUAAUCAUAUUAUAGAGAUUGAACUGGUUGCUAACUUUUGAUUAAGAGUUCAAUUAAUUUUUCAAUUAUUUUACAAGGACUUCUUUAGUACUUAAGUUUAAAAAUUAUAAAGAAUGGUUAUUUUUAUAUUUUAUUUUUAACUUUUUAAAUAAUUAAAAAGAUAAUUUAAAAUUUUUAAAUUGGUUAUAUAUAAUUUUAAGAUAAAAAUUUUAAUAAAACCUUUUAAAUUUUAAAUUUGAUAUUUUUUUAAAAUAAAAAAUUAAAGUAAGACCCUAUUUAAUAGAAGGUAAAAGUUAAUAACUUUUAUAUUUUUAAUUUGAAAAUUUGAAAAGGUAGAAUGUUAUGUGUUUUGGAAAUUUUUAGUGUUAAAAUUAAUAAAUAAAUAAAUAUAUAUAUUUACAUUUUUGCUACUUAAAUGAUUUGAUUACAUGUUAAUUAAAUAAGAGCAUCAACUUAUCAUUAAAUGAAACUAUCCACGUUAACAUAUAUGAAAUAAUCAUAAAUAUAUAUAUAUGAAUAAUCUCAUUAUAAAUUUAUUUAUAUCUAUUUUUUUUGAACAAAUUAAAGAAAAAAAGCUAGGACUUUUUUGGAAAUAUGUUAAAUUUUUCAUUGCUUUACCUUCUUUAGAAUAUGAUGAAUUUUUUUGAUUAUGGCAGAAUUAGAGUUCCCUAAAGAAUCUUCCACGAUUAUAUUAAUAGCUUCAAUACUAUCCAUUUGAAUUAAGAUCCUCUCGAAAUGCCUAUCCAAAAUAAUGUUCAACUUGUCUAGUAUGCCCCAAAGCUCUGCCUCUAAUACAAUGCAAUUACCCAAAUAUAUAGCAACCCAAUAAUCCACUCACCAUUAUAAUCCCUCACACAACCACCAUCUAUUGUAAAGCCCUCGUUAAACCUAACCGAACCAUCUGUAUUCAAACUCACCUAGUUAUUAGAUAAAUGCCAGUUAUGGAGAUGACUUUGUGCUUUUUUUUAUCACAAUGCUAGAAUUACCUAUAAAUAGGAGGAUAAUACACUUCAGCGCACUCAAACCUACGUCCUCCUACAUUGUUAACAAUAUCCAUGCCAAUUGAACUAAAACUCAAUAAACUAUUAUCAAAUAUAUAUUAGAUUACAAAUUCUCGUUAAACUACAUCAAUUUUUUUUAAAACUACCCAUGUCAUUAUAAAAGUUUAUUUCAGUCUUGUCACAUAUUCAAUUUCAAUGCAAUACAAACUCACAUGAAUCUUUAAAAGUUUUAAAUAGGACUUUCGGUGAUAAAUAUUAAAACAAAAUAUGAUAUUUAUCUCUUCACUUUAUAAGAAGGUAAAUUGUAAAAUUAAGAAAACAUUAAUUUAAAAUAUAGUUUUUUUUUUAAAAAAUACAAAUGAUUUAAGGAUUUAUUUAUUUAUUUUCAUCAAUAUACCUAUUUUAAUUAAAGAUAAUAUAAUGCAGAGAAUCCACAAGAUAAAUAUUUAAAUUAAAAAACUUAUCUUCAAACUUUAUUUAAAAUGAGUUUUUAAAUUCAAUUUUACAAAGACUAGUUUUAAAUCACUUUUUAAUUCAAUUUUAAGUGAAUUUUUUUUAUGAGAGAAAAAUAAAUGAAAAACGUAGCAAGGAAAUUUGUAGCAGGCCAAUUUAUCCCGGGACAAUAAAAGCCUAAACCGACCAACCCAAAAACAAAAUUAAAACCAAAAUAACAAUAUAAAAGUCCAUUGUUUUUACAAGACCCAUUAAAAACCCAAAAAAUACAAAAAAAAACCUAACCCAAACUUUACAGACUCAUUACCCCAAGUUCCUACAGGCCCAAAAGGCCCAAGAGCCUAAAACAAUUCAGAAACCCUAGGGUUUCUGAAUCUCCUUUGCGCCGUACCCCUUCCAUGUGUGCCCUCGGCACGCACACCGCCCAAGGCUUGGCUUUGCCUGCAAUGUUGCACCUAAACAGCCAUCUACAGCCCCAUUGACCCAUUGUGUGCCUGCAAAAGAAAGCAAAAAAGGAAACAAAACAAGGCAACAGAGCAAAAAGGCGAAAACAGAGCAGAAACAAAGCAAGAAAAUAGCAAAGGCAUAGGCAAUAGUAAUAAUAUUAAAUCAAGUAUAUUUUUCGGCUAUAUAAGCCCAGAGACCAAACGUUGUAAGGUUUACACGCAUAUUAAGCAAUCAAAAGCAAAACAGAAGAAAAAUGUUAUUUCUUAUUUCUAUUUUUCUUGUGUUCUUUUCGUUCCUUUUAUUUUUAUUUUUUAUUUUUUACCUUUUAUUAUAAAUCUAUUUUAAAUAAUAAAAAAGGAAGAAGGGAAGAUUUACUUGAGUCACCCUGCGGUCUCAUCGUCGGAAGUCCCUUUCUCUGUCGUUGAGGUUGGAUCUAAAAAGGGGUCGGAGUUCUCAUUCUUCGGAAGUUGGGUCGGGAAGAUUUGGCCCCUUAAAAUACGAAGAAAUGAGGGUUAAACCCCCUUUUUUGCGUGACCUCGGCCACCGGCCACGGUGGGACCGCGGUGGGGAGUGGUACACCGGCGACGGGGCCCAAGGUCGGGUUGAAACCCUAGCAAAGAAAAGGGGGAGAGUCGUUUAAAGUUUUUUAAGAAAAAAGGCAGCAGAAUGAAAUUUUUUUUUAAAAAAAGGGUUUAUAUGCAGGAAUAAAACGGUGCCGUUUUGCACCCAAGGCCCCAGUUCCAAAACGAUGCUGCUUAAGACGACCCGCACGCGACCUGACCCGCUCCAGGGGGAUCCGGCAUCUUCGCUAAAUGGGCUAUUUAUGCCCUAGUCCUUCUGCAUUUUUGAUUAUUUAAAUUUAAUCCUUUAUUUUACUUUUCUUGUAUUUUUAAAUUUGACCACAUAAAUUUGCUCGGUUUCCAUCUCGGUCGCUAACCGUGGAUGCGCUGGAUAAUGGACACGUGUCCAGAGGUUGGGUUUUU
rnacentral:lncRNA from 1 species